rnacentral:lncRNA from 1 species
GCAGGGUACGCGCUCUUUGGAUAAUCAUGGAAGUAUGGUGAUUUCUAUUUAUUGUUGUGGGGAAAGGACACCGAAUUCUUUGCCUGGUUUUAGAAAUGAUCACAUAGACUUGUAUUAGGAUAAUUAUACCCUUUGACUGUAGUGAUUUCAUCUUGGCAUAUUUAUCAAAAUGGGUAUUUUCCCUUUCAACUACUCAUCACACGAGCUUUAACCUUCCACCAGUGAUCUGUUGAGGCUGAAUGAUGAGCGGAGGAUAGCGUGUUUGCCUUAUUCGUGCUUCAAGGUGAAGCAGAUUAUUGGUGGCAGGAUUAAGCUCGUCUGAUUUUGCAACCAAUUACAUGGAAAAUGUUUGUGAAUGGCUUGAAGCAUUGAGAUAUCAUUCUAUUAUCUCCGUGUGUUUUCAUAAGCAAAAUUGGGAUGUUAAUAGUGGUGUCGUAGCAGGAAGUUGAACAUGCAAGAUUCCAGCAAAUCCCUUUGAGAUCCCAUCCAGUUGUUGCAGCCCAGAUCCCACCAUCAAAUCAGGUCAAAUUACAAGAUAUACCUAACUUAUGGAUUAACUUUCAUGUCUUUUAGUUUGAGAUCUAGUGAGUACAAUGCUCGUAAUGGCCAAUACCAUAUGGUUCAAGAGGAUAUGAGAGCAUAAAGGUUCAAAUUUAUGAGUUUAACCGGUUGAAAAUGGUGUAAUAUGCCUCUGUGGUUUGUACAUAAUGGAUUAGAUAAUCCUCUUUUUUGGCCCUCCAAAGAAUUAUUCGUAGGAGACUGAAAAUUGAAUCUCUGAUGCAGUUUAUCCUUGAACUGGUAAGACAAUGUAGCUGAAGUAAUUUUUCAUAUUUCAUAUAGUAUUUGCUAUCACUUAAGUGGAAGACUAACUUUUGUAUCUCUACUUUUUUCUGGCGACUUCAAACAGUCUCAACCUUUUGGAAUGUGACAAACUUUGAACUACUAUAGUAAUAAGAAGAUUACUAACCCUGUGUGCCCUGUACACACUGCUAUGAUUGAAGAAAGGCUAACCCUGUGUGCCCUAUACACACUGCUGUGAUUGAAGAAAGGCUAAUAUUACUUUUGCUGACUGACUGAGUGUGAAGGUGUGGGAGUGAAAGCUACAACAUACACAAACAAUAUGGAUGGACCUUGCCAAUGCUGAGUUGAUCUCUGCAAAUGAAGAUUCACCUAAAUAGAUUGGGAAUGCCAUUGUGGAGCAAAUUAGUAGGAACCAGGAUGGAAAUUCCACAGUGGUUAUGCAUCUUGAAGGAUACAAGAUGACUGUGUUGAAGCUGACCCAGCUACUUGAAAUAACCGAGUUAGUGGGGUUUGACUACCCAAUCACAAAGAAAAAGGUAUGUUGAUUUUCAGAAUUUUUCUUCCACUUAUCUCUUUGCUGUCAUACAGAGUGCCAUUCUGAAUAGUGAACUUUUCAUGUAAUGUGAAUUUGAUUCUUAAAGCACCUGAAUCUAGAUAAGCUUGCUGCAUGCUGAGCAUUGGGUCUUGUGUCUCAUGUGGGCUUUUUUCUUGAGUUCUUUGUGCCCAAAGAUGCUAGUAGGCUGGUUCUUACCACUGACCAACCAUCUAUUUAUACUUAGUCACAGCAAUUGCAAACAUACCCCCUUGGUUGGUUCAGGCAGUAAAAUCUCUUGAGGUAGUACUUAAUUGCCAUUUCCAAGUGUUUAACCCUAAAUUUUUAAUAUCUUUUUGGUGGAUUCAUAUACAUUGAACUAGUCUUCUUUCUAUAUUACAUGGAUUAAAUUUUGAAAUUAGGCCAACCUGUUGUUAAAUCUGCCUUUCAAAUUAUUGACUUAAUAUUGCGAAAAAAGAGAGACUUUUUACUAUUACAGAAUUUUUCAUUGUUGCAGGAAACUGGAGUCGUAGCUGACAGUGCUCAAGGGCAAUCCUUAAAUUAAAUUUCAUUGCAAUAUUUGAAAUUUAAAUUAUUUGAGAAAAAAAAAAUAUUUGCAUAAUAUUGAACAACGCAUUUUCUUGUAUAAUAUCAAUAAAACAAUGCAUGUGAGGGAAUAAAAAGAAUAAGACGAAAUUUGACGACAGUAAUUAGCAUUAUUUCAAGCAAAGAAAUCUGGACACUAAUAUGUUUUCUCUGUUACUUUUCAAAAUUACUGCGUGUGCAUGAGAUGAUUGCUUGCUACUGUAGUACUGUGCAAGGUGAAACAUUUGAAGAAGCCCCCUUCUAAACUGGUAGUGGUGGUCGUUGUCCUCCUGCCGAGGAAGUGUCAUUAGAUUGAAACCUACUGCAAAUAUUGAUACAAAAUGGCUUCAAGGUUUCGUUAUAGAGCUGACUGCAAAAUGGCUUCAAGGUUUCGUUGUAGAGCUGACGACAAGCUUCUGUAAACAGCGCCCCAUAUUGAUGCACAACAAUGAUAAUGGACGAGCAAAGCCAUGCAGUGUACAAUAUGAUAUGACCAAUAUCAGAGCGGGGAACAAAUGUGGAGGCUAGCGAGACUGCAGAAACAGAUCCAGAGACUCGUGCUGCAAGGGCCCAAGAUUGGGAAAAAUUCUCUUGAUGAGCUAAAUAUGCAUAACAAUAAAUGGCUGUGGUUAUGAGAAAAGACCAUAUAUUUGUUGUGUGUUUCAAGCAAGCGCUCAUUUGUGCCUUGCAUAUUUGCUCCCACAAUGCCGAUGAGAGCUGGAAUGAGAUAUCCAAACACGUUAUGGUAUGCGUUUGACAUCGCAGAUAAAUAAAAUUUGUUCUUGCAGAACCAUUAAAAUACUAUAUUAAGGAAAGUAUUAGAUCCAUUCCUUUAGAAAAACAGGAAUUUAAGAGAUCAUUAUGUAUUUAGUCUCAUUUAAUAUUAGUUUAAUUUUUUCGAGUCAUAGUUAUUGUGAAAAAAAAAAAUUAUCAAAUACUUUUAUUGAUUGGUAAGAAUUUAAAAAGGAAAUUUGGGAUUUUUUUUUUGUUUUCUUGUGAACAUUGACGGUAUAUAUGUAGGGUAAAGUUUUAUUUUUAAAUACACGUUGUGGCUCAGCUCAGAGAGAGAAGGGAGACGGUCAAGAUUGCUGGGUUGACUUUCUUUUCCCGUCAGCCAUUUUGUAAUAGCUUGAUCAGAGCAAUCAUUACCUGCAAAACUUAACACAACACCAAAUUAACAACCAACAUUUCAAUUGAAACAAAUCUACUUGAAAAUAAAAGAAAAAGCAACUCCAAAUCAAAAUCGAAAUGAAACCUUAUCAGAGAGACAGCCGCAAGUAUGAAGAGACAAGCACGAUCCUGAAGGACUAUUACUCCAAAUCAAAAUCGAAUUAUAAGAGAGAAAGCCGCAAGUACGAAGAGAGAAGCGCGAUCCUAAAAGAUCUGAAGUCGUGUUGUAUAUAUGUCUUGUAUAGAUUGACAGAGCAAUCAAAGGCCGUGUCGACCAGAGCAAUCGAAGAGUAGAAGAGAUAAGAGAGGAAAAAAGAAGAAGAGGAGAACUGCAGCAGCAAAUGAGCAAAGGGCAGUAUUUAUAGACAAGACAUGUUGUACGAAAUAAAGUAGUGGACCCUUUGUAGGCCUCAUCAUUCUUAAAAAUUUCUUCCAUCAUCACUGCCAUGCAACCUAGAUAUUCUUUUUCAAAUAUAUUAAACAUUUUAUUCGUGUUAGUUUGUACUGCAUGGCUUAAAAUUCCACUCUUUACUAUGAGACAACGAACGAGUGGACCCUUUGUAGGCCUCAGUUUUGCAAUUACUGACUUAUCACAGCUUACUCCAAAUCAAUUUGGAGUAAGCUGUGAUAAGUCAAUUUGGAGUAAGCUGUGAUUUGGCUGUUGUAAGCAUGGCGUUCGUUGAAAAUUCCGCGAAUUCCCCCAUCCGCCAUCGGACCGACCGUCGGUUGAAUUAUCACAGCUUAAGAGCUAAAGUUUUUGUGUUAAAGAGCUUAAAUAACAUAUUAUAAGACUCAAGAUAUUAGGUUCGAACCACGCAUCUUCGUUUUACUUAAUGCAGAUCCAAUUUUGGUGGCAGCGAAAUUAAAACUUUUCAUUUCAUGUAUUAUCUCAAGAAAUAUGACAUUGAUACAAAUACAUCAUUCAUAGAAUUUGAAACUUGGAACAUGAAUUUGCAGUACGUACUUUUAGGUAAUCCCAAAAAAAAAAAAAUUUAAACUAUUAGGUAAGAGUUCAAUAGUUGUACUUGAAAUCAAGUCUAACAAAUAUUUAGAGCAUAGUAAAAUAAGGACCGAUUGAGAACAAAAUUAAAGAUUUAGAUUAAUUGAGAUGAUAAUUUAUGUAAACUUACUAAAAUAAAACAAAGAUGCAUAGUAAGUUUACAUAAAUUAGGUUCGAACUACGCAUCUUUGUUUUAUUUUAGUAACCUUAAACAUCUACCUCGAAAGUUGACGAAAGUUGUGAGCAAUAUUCUAAUAUUGCUAAUAUGUGUUUCAAACUAGAUACUUAGAUUCUAAUUAUCCUCCUCGUUCAAUAAUCAGUCUUUCUUGUGAAAACACAUCUUAUAAUAAUAAUAAUAAUAAUAAUAAUAAUAAUUAUUAUUAUUAUUAUUAUUAUUAUUAUUAUUAUUAUUAUUAUUAUUAUUAUUAUUAUUAUUAUUAUUAUUAUAUCUAAAAAAAGAGUAAGCAGUGCUACUGGUAGUCUGCAGUCUGCCGUGUAAUGAUAAUAUAUAAUGAAUAAAUAAAUAAAUAAAAACGGAAAUACGUAUCACAGUUGACACAUACCUUCAUUGAAAUCAAUAUAUAUAUAUAUAUAUAUAUAUAUAUAUAGGGUUUGGCUAUCUUCUUAUUAUUAUCUUUCCUUGUUAUCAUGCAAGGAAAGAAGCCGUAGAGAUUCUGAAUAAAUGAAUGUUUCAAAUAAGUGCCUAGGAAAGUAAUCCACCAACAUACACAACACAAAUGUUCCGAUAAACAUACCAUCCCAACCAUUCUUUGAGGAGUAUAUGACUGUUGUAGGAUGAGAAGUAAAACAAACAAGAUCCACGCCAUAUUUUUUGCUAUUAAUUGUCUUCAAACAUCUGAAAUUCAAUUAAGGGUCUCAGUAACAAUUGUAAUACCGAUUAUCAUGAACUCAGCUAAGACAACUGAAGUGCAUUUGGGAGUGCUCUUAUAGAAAGAGCAUAUGAAAGCAGGAGGGGAAAACGGCCUUUUCACAAAGUACUUGAAAAACAUAUGAAUUACAUUUCCCUUAAGCACUUCCCAGAAACCACUCCAAGGUUUUUUUUUUUUAAUUUUUUUCCAUCUUAAAAAGCAUUUUUGUCCAUCUUAGAGAAACAGCAACUUUCAUGAGCUCCUGAAACACGCAGAGCAUACAUUCAGAAGUGCUUUAACUGAAAGUACCCUUGAGUAAAAUCACUUUGAAACAUAUAUGAAGUACUUCUUCAAAUGGCACUAGAAGUGAUUUCCUAAUCCAAAAAGUUCCACCUAUGAAAGCGGAUAUCAAGCACAUUCUCACAAAACCACUUCAAGGGUUCCUUUGAUUUAAAAAGACACUUUAUUUUUCUGCAAUUUCAAACAACUACUGCAAAAUUUAAACCAGCUAUUUACACUUACUCAAAAGCCCUUUCUUAGUUAAAAGAACUUCCAAAGAGACAACAUAAAAUCCUAAGAAACAGAGGAUAAACUUACGUGGCAGCAGUGACAUCAUACAGACGUAUAGAUUCAUCAUCACUAGCAGUCACCAAAUAACUCGACGAUUUAUGAAAAUCCAUGGAACUAAUUCUUCCAUUCUGUUGAAACACAAAUCAAUACCAAAACGACACUCAAUUAACAAACAGAUACACUUAAAAUGCAAAUCAAGUAUAUUUCUCAACUCAAAAAAAAAAAAAAGGUAGAAGGUUCUCUCACGUAAUCUCUAAAAGACAUGCCCACUUCCAUGCUCUGAAGAAUUUCUUCAGAGAGCUCCAAUGAGACCUUGUCUUCUCUCUCUGAUUGUGACCCUAGAAACACCCAGUAAAAAUACACAACACAAAUAAAAUAAAUAAAUAAACCACAGCAAUUAUGCAAGAAAACUACAACGUUUCAAGUAUAAUCUCCACAUACCAACCAUUUUUUUCUCCUCCAGAUUAAUUCCACUGCAUCGAAAAUAAAUUUUCCACUGAAACGGGAAGGAAGAUGCGGAAGUUGUGAAUCAAUCAGCAAGAUUUCUCCAAUAAGGACCUAAGUUUUGCAAUCGUCUCAAAUAGGUGCCCGACCCCAUUUAAUGAGUAAGAUACCCUUAGGCGUCGUAAAGAUUAUUUAUUUAAACACCAAGGGUAUUUUGGUCAUUUAACAUCACUGAGGGUGCCGCUACGCUACACCUUAUUACGAGCCGUAGACCCCCGCCGGUGGGAUGGUUUGGGUUUGUCGGUUAACGCAUUAAAAUUCAUCUCAAACACAAAAUAAAUUUUGACAUCCAUUGUAUAGUACACACAUUAAUAAAAGAGAUAGGUUUAGUUUCAAAAAAGUAAGUACAUGAUAUGUAGUGUUAUGGAUAUACAAAAUCAUUUUAAAAGUUAAAAUCUUUACAGUUUUUUUAAUGCUUUUCUCUCUUAAUGUAGAUUCCAUAAAAUACCAUAUAUUGUAACAAAGAAAAAAUGUUAUGUUCUAUUUUAAACCUUUAAUAAAACAUAGUAUAUAUGUUUUGUCAUAUACAAAUGAUUAUUAUUAUGUGGAGGUAAUUUUUUUAAGAUAGAAACUAAAAAAGUAUAGUUUAUUACAAUAUGAAGUUUAUUAUUAUUUAUAACUGACUCAAAUUGGGACAAGAAAUUUUUAUGAUUAUAUGGAGGUUAUUCUUAUAUAAAGUAUCACCAUGAAGAUAUAUUAUUGUAAUUUGAAGAGGAAUCCUUCUAGACUGGUAGUGUUGGUCCUAGCUGUCCUAACUGGUAGUGUUGAAACCUAUUGCAAGUGUCAAUACAAAAUGGCUUCAAUGUUUUUUGGUAAAGCUUAAGAGAAGCUUCCAUAAACAAUGUGCCAUAAUGAUACACAACAUUGAUAAUGGCAGCUCCAAUCCAUGCAGUGUACAAAAUGAUGUGACCAAUCUUAGAGCGUGGGACAAAUGUGGAAACCAAAGAGAUUGCAGAUACAGAUCCUGAGGCAACAGCAAUAAGGCACCAGAACUGGGAAGAAUUUUCUUGAUGAACUCGAGACUUCACAUCAGCUGAAUAUGCAUAACAGUAAAUGGCUGUGGCUAUAAGAAAAGAGCAUAUAUUUGUUGAGUGUGUUUCAAGCAAGGACUUAGUUUGGCCUUGAACAUUUGCACCCACGAUGCCGACGAGAGCCCCAAUAAGAUGACCAAAAAUAUAGGGAUAUGACAUUGAGGAGAAGAGAUUUCGCCCACUGCAAAACAAUUUUAAAAAAAAAAAUCCAUCAUAAUCUAAUAUUUCUCCUGAGCAAACUUCACUCAAGCGAUUAGUUGUUAAUAAUUUAAAAAAUAAAAGUGGUUAAGUUUUAUUCGUACACUAGCACUAAAUAAUAAGUGACAAAAGAUUUUUAAAGGUUUAAAAGAGCUCAAAUUAUAAAAGGAUCUUAAUCACCAUUUUAAACACAAAUUUAGACACAAGUUUUAGCCAUUGAAUUACAAUCAUUUCAAUAACUUAGAUUGAAGCUAACAUAAAUUUCAUUUUAAAAAUAAAAUAGUGGUCACAUUACAUAUUAUUAAUUUUAUCUCUUUUCUCUCCACUUUAAAUCUCUUUCUUGCUAGAAAUUGAGAGAGAGACUAAAAACUUCAGAGAUUAAUGUACCUAGUUUAGAGCUUAAAGAAGCUAAAACACAAGAAUCAAUGGAGAUAAUGGUUCCUUUACGUUAUACACAAGGCUUCCACCUUAUACUUCAUCUAAAUAAAUUGGUGAGAUCCCAUUACGGACAUGAAAAGAGAGAAAAAGAUUUAAAACAAAUUACAUCAUUUAUCUUCUGUACAGUAGAAAAUAGGAUAAAUUAACAAAUUACAUCAUUAAACUUCUGUACAUUAGAAAAUAGGGUAAAUUUUAAUUCAUCUCUUAAGAUAAUAUGACAGUCUUUAAUUUAUCUCCUAAAAGUGUGAAAAUUUCAAUUUACCCCGUAUUCUUUGAGAAGAUGAUUGCAUGAGGACCACUAUUGAUGGAUUUAUUUUUUGCCUUCUUUAACAGCAAAUGGAUGUAAAAUAAUAUUUUCACACUCUUAGAGAUAAACUGAAAAUUGAUAAUAUAAGUAUGAGAUCAAUUGAAAUUUACCCUAAAAAUUAUAAUUAAAUCUCACCCAUCUAUCAAUCCAUAGAUUUUUACACGCUUUCAAAAUCGUCAUUCUAAAAUCAAGUCAACUCUCAUUCAGAGAAGCUACGUAGAGGUGUGACUUUUAUCAAAGCCAAAAUGAACCACUGUUUGUUGGCAUCGAUUUUUGACAAAGUAUAUAGUAACCCCCUCAAACAUUAACAAAAGCAAAAAAAUUGAAAAGGAAAAAAUUGUUUGUUAUACGUUUUGAGUCCCUUUCUCUUGGUUUUGCUUCUUGAGGAAAUUGUAGUUUUAUUUGAGUUCGUAGAAGUUAAAACUUUGAAGGACAAAAGAUCUUGGGAAAAGAUACGAGGAGAGAGAAAAAGAAAAAAAUUAAAUUAAAUAUAAAAUUGAAAGAGAAAGAAAAAUAAUUAAUAGUUACUAAUUAAUUUUGCAUCAAAAGGAAAUUCAUGUCAGUCUCAAUCUAAGCGAUUGAGGCUAUUAAAAUGAUUCUGAGCUAAUAGCUAAAAGUUUGUGUUUAAGUUUGCAUUUAAAAUUAUAUCUCUUAAACCUGCAUUUCAUCUUACAUAUAUUUUGUUUUAGUGAGAGAAUGAAAGAAAAAUUUCAGAGGGACAACUUAACCAGUUUAUUCCCGCAAAAUUGGGAGAACAAAAGUAAUUUGAAGUAGACUGCAUACUCAAAGAUAAUGUACAACUAGAGUGCAAAAAAUAAAAAUAAAAUAAAAUGACCAUACACAGGAGAAGGGUUUGGACUUGGAUGAUGAAGAAUGCACUGGCAGCUUUGCAUUCGCAUAUAUAUCUCAGGAAAAUCUUCAGUUUUCAUAUUAAAUGAAAUAGAACUCAACAGUUAACUCACUCAGCUUGAACUUGGAAGGAAAAAAGAAAAGAAAGGGAAAGAAAAAUCUCCCUCUCACUUCCAAAAAUAAAAAUUACACACUCGAUAGAAACAUCUUACUUAUCUCCGCUUAAAAAAUUAUCUCAUGGCCUCGGUAUUUAUGGGCUAAACGAGCCACUGUUUAAUCAAAAUGUGAAAAAAAACAAAUUCAAAAAGUUUUUGUUUGAUGGAAUGAGGAUGGAAAUGGACAAAAUUCAAAAGGGUUAUUUUUACUUUUACUGGCUUCCAAUAAACUAGGCCAUAUUGCACGUAAUUAUAGAAACCUCUCCUGCUGUUUGUACAACGUUUCGUAAUGGUCAAUAGAAAUGUUUUGCUCAGUUGCGUUAUGUGCUGAGUGAGGGAGACAGCGAAUCGUAGAGAGGAUUUUCAAGUUCAAAGUAAUAAAUGAGAAAGCGGCGAAGGGCCAUCGGUAGCUAGUAAUGAAAGAAUAAAGUUUUCAAAAGUUUACUUUUAUUGAUGAAAAAGUAAUGACAAUUAAGGUUUGAUCCUUUUUUAUUCUAGAAUCCUAACACACCGUUUUACUAAUUAUGUUAUUUCAAACCCUACAAAUUUUUUUUCCAAUAAUGAACAAUCUUGCUGGGAUAUAAACGAGUCUAUGCAAGGAAAGCCAAAAUACAAAAAAAAAAAAAAUAUAUAUAUAUAUAUAUAUAUAUAUAUGAGCAUGAUUUAUAUACGUUUCCUGAUUGAGUUGCUAGCGACGAUAAACUCAGUUUCGAAAGUGUAUAGGCGUAUCUCAAAGUAUUAGUGGUUGAGAAUAUGCAGAUAAACUGAAAUUACAAUGAAAUUAUUAUAAAGCAAAUAAAAAUUUACAAGGGAAUGAGUUUCUUUUAACCAAUUAAAUAACAAAUCCGAUGUUUCAAAUGGAAUAAUACACGAAAAAACCAUGUUCACAGAUAAACAAGUUAGCAGCAUUAUAGACAAACUUCGGAAGCAGAUACCUGAGAUGGCCAACAGUUGAGUGCAAAUUUAUUAGUGAGGUUAAUUUUAUUUUUAGUUGUUCUUAAAUAUAACUUCAAUAAAACAAGAGUUUUAUGAUAUUAAUGAAGUGAUGCCAAUUGUCCAACUCUUUAUUUUUAUCAUUUUAAAGGCUCCUUCUUCUACUUACCUGUUUGUUCUUCUAACUCACUAUUUAUUUCUUUAUUUUUGCAUUUAAAUUCUUUCUUAAUUAAUAUGAGCUUUCCCAAGCAUUUAAAAAUUUAAUAUCAUCAACGUUAAUGUAUAAUUAAAAUCUAACUAAAUUUAUUUUAUAAGUUAUUAAAACACCAAUCACUUAAAUGAAUUUUACAUCUUUUUUCUGCCAACAUAACAAAUGUCUUUAUUUAAUUGCUUUGGUAAUGUAAAUGGCGAUUACCUGAGCAGCCGGUCGCCCAUUCUCACAUGUGUGACACACAUAUUUCCUCUACUCGACAUUUUCAUGUUUCUACAGUGUAUAUUAUGCAAGACCCUACAAUUAUUGGUCAUUUGUUUCAACUCAGAGAAAAAUUUGCACAACAUUUUAUUUAUAUUCGUCAAAUUUAUUAUUUAAAAAUUAAUGAAACCUACCAUUCUAUUAUAUUCUAAAGCAUCACCAACAGACCGUCUCAGGUUCUCUCUCCAAGUCAAUAGCAAGCAAUGUAAUCUCGGUACCGAGGUACAUUCAAAGGUCAAAUCACGUUCAGCUGCUGGCAGGAAAAUCAAAUAAAUUAAUUAGGCAAUGAGUCCCUUUUUAAGCAAUGGUGAGGAUUACUUUUUCAGGAAACUUUCAGUGACCGGUAAAGACAAAUUUUGGUUAGGUGAUGGUAGCAAAUAAACGUUGCAAGUUAAAUCUGAACGCUGCAUUUAACCCAAACUCUGUUUCAAUUGAAUGUGGAAAGGACAUAUACAUAUGCUGCUGUGAAGAAGCUCGAAGCAGUCAGCCAUGAGAGGCCCUGCUUUCCUUGUAAUCUUUCCGUAAAGUAGCACCAUCAUCAUGCAAUGAAGGAAAAUCCUCAUGAGAAGCCUCCAUUCCCUUUCUGCAAUUGUGUCCUUGCUUAAUAUACCUUGAUAUUUACAAAGAACUUUCACCAUAUCAAGUAAAAUGAACAAACACAAAUUACAGAGCCGCGGCGUUUGAAUCAAAGGAACAAGAGGGUUACUCUUGAACAAUGAUAUGUGUUACGUCGCACAUAAAGAACGGAACCGCUAAUAUUUUCUGACAUACUAUUUUCUUACUAAAAUUUUAUCUACUUCUACCACAGUGGAGGAAAAAAGCACCAUACCAGCUGUUUCCGUGAAAAUAGGCGUGAGAAAAAAAUAUUUGCAAGCAACAGAAUUUAUGUUUAAGUGUAAUUUCACGCUUAUUUCAUCUUUCUUCAGUUAAAUCAAUCAGCAAAACUUAAAAGCCCACUUCAAGCUUUUCUUUGAUUUCGAAAGGCACCUUUUUUUUUAAUCCCAUUUCCGAAAACUACUACAAAAUCUAAAAGAAUGAUUUACACUUAAAAAGCCUUUUCUUAAGUUUUAUUUGGUAUUGGGGGUAGUGUAACUUCUAAGUUAUAGUUGCUGUAAAAAAAAAAAAAAGUGUAAUUAUAAAAUACAAAGUUAAUAGUGUACAGUAAAAAUAAAAUUUAAAGAAAUAUUUUGAUAAAAUUAAUAAAAAUAUUAUAAUUUUCUCAUCACAUGAGUGAUGAAUUAAAUCAACUUAGUUUGUAAGCUAUAGCUAAGGAUGAUAAAAAGUUUGGGCCGGCCCAGUAUAUUCUUGCAAACUUUGGCUUGGGCUUCUACACGAGGGCCGGACGAGGGCUCAAGGAAAAAAAGACUGAGCCUAACCCAGUCCUCUAUUUUUUUAAAAAUAAAAUUAUGAAUUAGGAUAACAAAUUAAAAUUCAAAAAAUAAUGAAAAAUUAAAAAAAAAAGCUUAAAUCCCUAAUUCAUAUAUCAAUAAUGAUUCAAAUAACCUAAAAUUAUAAUACUAAACUUAUUUUAAGCAUUAAUUAAUUGAGAGGGUACUUGAAUUAGAAAAUUCAAUAUUAAAACAUUAAAUCUCUCAAAUUUUAUUUGCUUCAUUUUUGUUAUUUAUUAUUUUAUUUGAAAAUAUUUAUUUUCUUUAAUUUAUUAUUGAUUGUAACAACUUAUUGAUUAUUAUCUCAUGUCAAGUUUACAAUAAUAAAAAAUAAAAAAGUUUGCAAUAAAAAAAAUUUAAAAAAUAAGUAAAAGUCCAAGCCCAGCCCAAGCCUGGCUCACCCUGCAAUGGCCUGGCCCAAGCUCCCAUUCUACCAUCCCUAGCCACAACAACUAGUAAUUUAUAAAAAAAUGUAAGUGUUGUAGGUUAGUUUUUAAGUUACAGUUGUAAAACUUCAAUACUAAAUAGAUAUUUAGGGGUUUUUAUUUUCUUUUUUUUUCCUUUGAUAAAACAGGGCUUUUGUUAAAAGCACUUCCAAAGACAAUAUAGAAUCACAAGAAACAAAGGGAUCAACUUAUGUGGCAUAGAGACAUCAUAUAGAUGUACCGAUUCAUCAUCACUAACAGUCACCAAAUAGCUCGAUUUAUGAACUUGUAAAAUCUUUUUUUUUUUCUUUAAGUGUAAUUUCAUCGUAUAGAUGUAGUUUUUUUCCCCCUUCCUUGAAUAAGCUUAUUCACAUCCCAACAAUAGAAUUUUACAUUGAAUAAUGAGUGUGUGUUUUACAAGUAUUAAGAGUAAUUAUGUCAUAUUGGUUUAUAAUAGAUUGUCUUUAACAGUAAUUCAACUUAUGAGUAUUAUGAGUAUUUUUAUAAUGAAUUAUUUUAUAUAAAUAAAUGUGUUCAUAGCAAUUUUUGAAAGUACAAAUAUCUCCACCCUCAUAUUAAUUAUUGUUAUUGAUAUUAUUAUUUGUGCAUGGUAUAUACACGGAUGGAUCCAGUAUUAGACUAGUUGGGGCACGGGCCCUCGCUGACUUUUGUAAUAUUUUUUAUGAUUAUAAAAAAAUGUAUUUAAUUUAUUAUUUAAAAUAGUGCCCCAAUUGAAAUUAGAAUUAUGAAAGUGUUCCAAUUAACUUCAAAAGAUUUUAUGUUGCCCUUAAUUGAAGUGUCUAAUUUUAGAUGAUUUGAUUCACUAUUAAAACAUUAUGAAACUUAAAUAAAGACAAAAGAUAAUUGAUAUUUUAAACAAAAUAAAAAAUAAUUAAAAACUAAAGAUGUAUACUUUGCUCUUUUUAUUUUUCUGGUCUCUUUCCAAUGCUUUGAAUCAAAACCACUUUCUUUAUUUGUUUGUUAUGGUCGUAGUGUAAUAAUCGAUCAGAGUAAUGCACGUGCAUCAGUGCAUGGAUUUCAUCCCAAUUCCCAUAAAUCAAAAGCACUUUCCUUUAAUUGUUUAGUUUUUCGAUAUUGAUUCUUAAAUUAUAAGUCUAGCUAAUUUUAAUUUUCAAUUAUUCCUAUUAAUCUUUUAUCUAGUUUCCAAAUCUCAAUUUUACUAUCUAUUCAUAUUUUCUCUUCGUGUUGCACUAUAUGAAUAUUUGGGAAAUUUACAAAAAUAACCAUAAAAGUUUUACUGUUUUCACAAUUAAUCCUUUAAAUUUUUUUCUAUCAACAUUAGCCAAACACACGCUUUUCUCCCCAAAUUACCCUUGUUUACAAAUCAAAAGCAACAGUCGUGGGUGAAUCUGGCGACAGGCGUCUAUCGCACCAAGCUUGGUGCGACAGACUGCCUGUCGCACAAAGCUACGUGCGACGGGCUGCCUGUCGCACAAAGCUACGUGCGACAGGCGUCUGUCGCACCAAGCUGCCUGUCGCACAAAGCUACGUGCGACAGGCGUCUGUCGCACCAAGCUUGGUGCGACAGGCGCCGGUCGCACCAAGCUUGGUGCGACGGGCGCCUGUCGCACGAAGCUGUAAACUGAUUAUGGAUUAUGAAGCAAAUUCCAGAAUCAGGGAUCCUGUCUACGGCUGCGCCGGCACGGUUUGCCAUCUGCAGAAACAAGUCAGUGAGCUUCAGGCUGAGUUAGCCAAGGCACAGGCCGGGCUCGCUUCCAUGCAAAGCCAGCAACAAAAUUUGAUUGCUUUGAUUUGCAUGGAAAUGGCUCAAUCUCAAGAACAAGUCCUGCAUCGUCAUCAGCAGCAGCAGCUGCAACAGCAGUUCAUUGAUACAAGCUGUUUUUUGGACGAAUACAGUCUUGGCUCUACCUGGGAACCUCUCUGGACAUGAAGAGAAGUUAAAGCAAUAGGAGUGGUUGAAACUUUUGAUUUGAAGUUAAAGCUAAAUAACCAAAUGAUUUGAAUAAAUCUCGUUGAAGAGAAUAGAAGAUAAGAAAGAGGGAAACAUUUUUGCUUUUAUCGGAUUCUGUGCAGAAAGCCCUGCACCAUUCCACCUUCUUUCUUUUUCUUAAAAAAAUAUAUAUAUAUAUUUGUUUCUAUAUCUUUCUUAGUUUCCUUCACCUCCGUUCACUCUUUUUCUGGUUUUGCCUUCAAACUCAUGUUCUGCAACUUUCUACACUAGCUCUCCUCAGUAGCUUAUUCUUACGCAGGGAUUGACUUCAAAGGAUGAAGAAUCCUAUUUAUCUAUCCAAAUUCGUUUAAAUUUCGCAGAAUUCAACUCUUGGAUAUGCAAACUUCAGUUACGCGUAAUUCAAGAUGAUAAAUUAUAACCAGCAUAUCAUCAAUAGACCAAAAGCACAUUGAAAUACUAGAUAUCUACAUAAAUUGGAAUUUUUUUUUAAAAAAAAUUAUAAUGCUUUAAUGUAUUUACAAAAAUAAAUUUCUUAUUUUAGUGGAAUCGCUUGUGAAUUAACAUAUCAUUUGCUUGAGAAAAAGACCAUUAGUGCCGCCGACGAUGGGAGUUUCUUCGGUUUGGGAGAGAUGGGUGAAAGAGAGAUUGUUGGUGGAGAGAAGAGAGAGAGGGGUAUUUUGGUCUCAAAGGUUUUUUUAUGGCUAAUGUUGAUAGAAGUUUGUUUGGGGGGUUAAGAUGGAAAAAGUCAAAACUUUUAUGGUUAUUGGUGUAAAUUUCCCUGAAUAUUUUUGCUAUUCAGUCACAUCAUACAGACGUACAAAUUCAUUAUCACUAACAGUCACCAAAUAGCUCAACCGUUUUUUAAAAUCAAUUGAACUAAUUCUCCCAUUCUGUUGAAAAAUAAAUUAAUACUAAAUGAUACUCAGUUAAUAAAUGGAUACACUUAAAAUGGAAAUCAUCAAGAAUGUUAGAACCGAAGAAUUCAAUCCAAAAUCAAACUAAAUUUUAAUAUGAAUCGAACCAAACUGAAUGACUCAGACAAUUUGGUUUCUAACAUGAAAACCAAGCCAAACCUGUGAUUGAAUGACAAAACAGAAACGUAAAGAAGGUAAAAGAUAGAGAAAUAGAAAUUUCUGACAAAAGUAAAGUUUUAAGUAUCUUUUAUAUUAACCCUAAAUAAGUGAAUUUAUCAAAAGAGGCAAAUCCAAAAUAUUUUAAAAUAGUAAAAUAUUAUCAUUGGAAAUAAAAAAAAAAUAAAAAAUGACACUUAGAUACGAUAUUUGGAAAAAUAAAAAUCAAAAUUUGGAAAGAAACUAAGAAAAUAGGAAAUUAAAUAUCUUUUGCUUGCAAACAUGGCCCAAAACAAUGGGAUUUCAAAAUAAUUCGCUAAGUUUUUAUGAUAUUGUGAUAAACCUCCUUAUUCAUCUUUUCAUAAGCUUCUAUAUAUAUAUAUAUAUAUAUAUAUCUCAUUCCCUUGAAAAAAAUUUUAAAAGACGAUGUAUUAAUUUCCUCUCAAAUUGUCAAUCAUUUGAUUUUGACUGAAUUAUUUUAGACCAUUAAUCAAUAUACAAUAAUGUAUCGAUAUAACUAUGGUAUGUUUACUAAUUAGUAAUCGGAAUGAGCCGGAAUCAGAAUGGAGUGGAAUUGGAAUGGACUUUAUUACUAUUGAUGUAUUUACUUUAUCUUGAAAUCAGAAUGAAUUAUCACAAGUUACUAAACCGACCUUAGUUGAUUAUUUCAUUAUUUAUAAUAAUAAUAAUAAUCAUCAUCAUCAUCAUAAUAUGAAUAAUAGUUAUUAUUAUUGUUAUUAUUAUUAUGGUGAUGAUGAUGACGACGAAAAUUUCAUUGUUGAUGACUUUAGGGAAUGACAUUCUUACUCCCAUCUCCCCCAUAGGAAUGGGAACUCUAGUAAUCAUUCCUAAUUUUAAGUGAGGCCCACAACUUUGAUUCUUAUUCUGCCUUUUAUUUAACUAGGUAAAUGUAUCAUUUAUUCAUAUUCCUUGAUUUUCAUUCCCAUUUCCAAUAGGUAAAUACAACACUAAUGUAUACAAUAAUGAAAUCGCAAUAGAUACGAAAUAGGAUAGAAGGGAAUAUUAUUCUUUGAAUAUAAUUUUUCUCUAUAAAUUCAAGGGAGUACUUUCUUUAACACAUAUAGUUAUUUUUCCUCUGCCCCCAAAUAUUUCACCAAUUUUACUGCAUACAUACUUGCUUCAACAACCAUCACGUGCUUUUAAUUUAUGGGAACUGGAAUAAAAUCCACCUACUGAUGCAUACACAGUUCUCUAAUCGGCUACUGCACUAUCAUCACGACAAACAAAUUAAGAAAGUGCUUUUGAUUCAAAGCACUGAAAGUAGAGUGAAUAUCUUUUGUUUUUAAUUGAUUUUUUUAUUUUAUUUUAAAUAUUUAUCGUCUUUUGUCUUUAUUUAAGAUUCAUAAUGUUUUAAUAGUUAAUGAAAUUAUCUAAAAUUAGACACUUCAACUAAGGGCAAGAUGAAAUCUUUUAAAAUUAAGUGAGGCAGUUUCAUAAUCCUAAUUUCAAUUGGGGCACUUUCUAAAAUAAUAAAUAAAAUACUUUUUUAAUUUAUUUAUAAUCAUCAAAAAAAUGAUUUCAGAAGUCAGGUAGGGCCGUGCCCCAACUAGUCCACUAUUGGAUCCAUCCGUGUAUAUACCAUGUCCAAAUAAUAAUAAUAAUAAUAAUAAUAAUAAUAAUAAUAAUAAUAAUAAUGGUAAUGGUAAUUUAUGUGAGAAUGUAGAUAUUUGUAUCUUUAAAAAUUAUUAUGAAUGCUCUUAUUUAAAUAAAAUAAUUCAUUAUAAAAAUAAUUGUAAUACUCAUAAGUUGAAUUACUAGUAAGAAUAAUCUAUUAUAAAAGGGAAAUUUACAAAAAUAACCAUAAAAGUUUUACUGUUUUCACAAUUAAUCCUUUAAAUUUUUUUCUAUCAACAUUAGCCAAACACACGCUUUUCUCCCCAAAUUACCCUUGUUUACAAAUCAAAAGCAACAGUCGUGGGUGAAUCUGGCGACAGGCGUCUAUCGCACCAAGCUUGGUGCGACAGACUGCCUGUCGCACAAAGCUACGUGCGACAGGCGCCUGUCGCACCAAGCUUGGUGCGACGGGCGCCUGUCGCACGAAGCUGUAAACUGAUUAUGGAUUAUGAAGCAAAUUCCAGAAUCAGGGAUCCUGUCUACGGCUGCGCCGGCACGGUUUGCCAUCUGCAGAAACAAGUCAGUGAGCUUCAGGCUGAGUUAGCCAAGGCACAGGCCGGGCUCGCUUCCAUGCAAAGCCAGCAACAAAAUUUGAUUGCUUUGAUUUGCAUGGAAAUGGCUCAAUCUCAAGAACAAGUCCUGCAUCGUCAUCAGCAGCAGCAGCUGCAACAGCAGUUCAUUGAUACAAGCUGUUUUUUGGACGAAUACAGUCUUGGCUCUACCUGGGAACCUCUCUGGACAUGAAGAGAAGUUAAAGCAAUAGGAGUGGUUGAAACUUUUGAUUUGAAGUUAAAGCUAAAUAACCAAAUGAUUUGAAUAAAUCUCGUUGAAGAGAAUAGAAGAUAAGAAAGAGGGAAACAUUUUUGCUUUUAUCGGAUUCUGUGCAGAAAGCCCUGCACCAUUCCACCUUCUUUCUUUUUCUUAAAAAAAAUAUAUAUAUAUUUGUUUCUAUAUCUUUCUUAGUUUCCUUCACCUUCGUUCACUCUUUUUCUGGUUUUGCCUUCAAACUCAUGUUCUGCAACUUUCUACACUAGCUCUCCUCAGUAGCUUGUUCUUACGCAGGGAUUGACUUCAAAGGAUGAAGAAUCCUAUUUAUCUAUCCAAAUUCGUUUAAAUUUCGCAGAAUUCAACUCUUGGAUAUGCAAACUUCAGUUACGCGUAAUUCAAGAUGAUAAAUUAUAACCAGCAUAUCAUCAAUAGACCAAAAGCACAUUGAAAUACUAGAUAUCUACAUAAAUUGGAAUUUAAAAAAAAAAAAAAUAUAAUGCUUUAAUGUAUUUACAAAAAUAAAUUUCUUAUUUUAGUGGAAUCGCUUGUGAAUUAACAUAUCAUUUGCUUGAGAAAAAGACCAUUAGUGCCGCCGACGAUGGGAGUUUCUUCGGUUUGGGAGAGAUGGGUGAAAGAGAGAUUGUUGGGGGAGAGAAGAGAGAGAGGGGUAUUUUGGUCUCAAAGGUUUUUUUAUGGCUAAUGUUGAUAGAAGUUUGUUUGGGGGGUUAAGAUGGAAAAAGCCAAAACUUUUAUGGUUAUUGGUGUAAAUUUCCCAUUAUAAAACAACAUUACAUAAUUACUCCGAACACUUGUAAAACGCACUCAAUGUAAACUUAUAUUAUUGGGAUGGAAUAAGCCUAUAAACAAGGAAAGCCAAAAUACUAAAAGAAUUAAUGAGCUACAUAGGUGUCUUGAUUGAAUUGACAGCGAGGAUAAACUCAAUUUCAAAAUUGAAUAUGCGUAUAAAAGUAUUAGUGGAUGAGAACAUGCAGAUAAAAACAGAAACUACAAUGAAAUUACUAUAAAAGCAAAUAAAUUAAUUAGGGAAUUAGUUUCUUUUCACCAAUUAGAUAACAAAUUCGAUAUACUUCAAAAGAAAUAAUACUUUAAAGAAUAUGAUCCUAGAUAAACAUAUUAGCAACAUUAUAGAUCACAAACUUUGGAAGUUGAUACACGGAGUUGAGUGCACAACUAUAUAAGGGGUUAAUUUUAUUUAUAUUUGUUAUCAAAUAUAAUUACAAUAAAAUAGAAGUUUUAUGAUAUUAAAGGAGAGCCUAACUCUUUAUUUUUAUCAUUUUAAAGACCUUCCUUCACCUUAUCCGUAUGUUCUUCCAAGUCAUUUUCAGCCGACCACUUUUAAGAUACUUUCACCACUGUUUACCGCCAACACAACAAAGGUCACCGAUUACUUUUAUUUAGGCAGCUGUUACCGGAGCAGCCGGUCGUCCUUUCUCACAUGUGUAACACACACAUGGUCCUCUACUUGUCAUUCCCACAAUUGGUCACUCAAGUCAAUAGCAAGAAGCAAAGAAAUCUGUCAAAAUCACUUCAGCUGCGUCAUGGCUGGAAAAACAAAUAAAUUAAUUAGGGAAUGAGUUUCUUUUAAUCAAUUAAGUAACAAAUUUGAUACUCAAAGGCAAUGUAAUGCACAAAAGAACCAUGAUCGUAGGUAAACAUGUUAACAAUAUUAUGGAACAAAAACUUCAGAAGCAGGCACCCGUCUGAGAUGGCCUCCUCACAUUUCAAACAAUUAUGCAAAUUUUAAAAGAGUGAUUUACACUUAUUCAAACGCCAUUUUCUUAGUUUUUUUUUUAGUACAUGAGACUAUUACUUAUAUUACAUGAGAUUAUAACUAAUAUUUACAAAUCAAAUUAUUAUUAAAAUUAGUUUACAUCAAUUUUUAUGAAGCACUGUCCAGAUUUUUAACCAUCACUAAUAUUGAAGGGAUGUAUACUCUACUCGCACUUGAUAAGAGAGAAGACUGUUUCCACUCAAUUAUACAUUAUAAAUAAGGAAUAAAUUACCCCCACAAUACGUUUGUGGGGUUUCGAACUACUAUCCUCACAUAAGGGCACCAGCCCUAACCUCCCAACCAAAGUCGAGUGGCUAAAAACCCAAAAAGUCAAUCAAUUAAGAAACACGUAUACUUAAAACACAAAUCAAGUACACUUUGCAAAUGAAAACAUGCCUGAACGAGACCUUUGCUUCUCUCCCCGACUAUGACACAAAACACCCCCCUCCCAAAAAAAAAUAACAAAGAAAUAAAUCACAACAAUUAUGCGAGAAAACGACAACGCUUUAAGUAUAAUUUCCACAUAUAUACCAACCAUUUUAUCCUUCUUUUUAUUUUUGUUCUUCAAUUUUUCUCCACUGCAGCCUGAGGAAGAUGAGAAUUUAUUUACAACGAUUAAGCCACAAAUAUUAUUAUACAAAAUAGUGUGCACAAAAUUCUUUUUUGGGUAAAAAAACAAGUCUAGUAUGUAUAAACUAAUGUGACAUAAAGAGAUUGACAGAAAAGGGAUAAUAAUUAUUUUUUAAAUUAUGUGGACUCACAAUAGUUUUCUACAUUUAAUCUCUUUAUGCUACAUCAUUUCGUACAUAUUUGUUUUUACAAGGUGAUUUUGACUUGUGACUAUCUUGUAUAUCAAAUAGCUUGAUUUCUCUAGUAAUCAGACUAGUUUUAUAUUAGUCUCAAAUAGGUCCCUAGCUCCGUUUAAUGAAUUACAUACCCUUAGCCUUAAACACCAAUUCUUACACCAUCAUAUGUCAUUGCCAAUGGUUCUUUGGUCAUUUAGAAUUAAAUAAGGACCUAAUUACAUGAAUGGACAACUAAAUCAAUACAUUACACCUUAUCACUUGAGCCUUAGACUCCCACUAAAAGGGGUGGACAUUUUGAUUUUAAAUUUUGGGUUAGUCAAAUCAUGAUUCGAGUUGGAAUCCGUUUGGGUUAGAGAAUUUAACCCAAACACAAAACAAACUUUAGCCCGAACCGAAUCAAACCAAAUUAUUCAAAUUGUUUGGUUUCUAAUUUAAAAACUAAACCAAACUUAAUUUUAGGAUCGAUUCGGUCAGAUCAAUCCAAACCGUUUGCCUACCUUAUUGAAUGGAAUAAACUUUUUACUAUUAUAUUAAUAAGAAAAUUAUUAAUCCUGAGUGUAGAUGUUGCUGACUGCCUUGAUAAAUCAUUUGUUCACAUCAAACUGAGGCAUGAGAUAAAUAAAGGUGUAGGAGAUCUAGAGGAAGCUGCAACAUACACAAAAGCAAUAUUAUAUGGAUACGCCAUGCCGAUACUGUGUGUGAAUGAAGAUUCACCAAUGGACUGGGGGAAUGCUAUAGCGAAACAAAUUAGUAGCUGACAAGGAUUAACAUGUCACAGAGUUAAUAGGGGGUUUUGCACAUCUUGAAAGAUCAGGCAAGACCACAAUGUUGAAGCUGGCCUAGCUACUUGAAAGAAACGAGUUACUUACUUCACUUUGGUGGAGUGCAAAUAUACCACCUACACUAUAUAUUGUUGAAAAGUCAAAAUGAGUCUCACAUGCACUGUCAAAUUGCCGAAAAUUUUGGAAGAGUUGGGAGUGUUGGAGUUGGGAUGUUACAGGUAUUUGUCGUAGCAGGAAUUGGAACAUGCAAGGGCUCCAUCAAGUUGCCCACCAUCAAAUCAGGUCAAAGCACAAAAUGUAUCAACAGAUGGAUAUGCAUUUCCUUUUGUUUGAGAUCUUGUGAGUACAAUGCUCUUAGUCCUUAAUACCAUACACAUAAACAAUGGCCUAUAUAUAAACACUGCUGUGAUUGAAGAAAGGCAGUAUUGUUAUCGCUGACUUUUACCAAUGGCCUUGAUGGACCAUUUCUUCGCAUCUAACUGAGGCAUAAGGGGUAUAAAGCCUAAGUGUAGGAGAGAAAGCCACAACAUAUGUACAAAAACACAAUAUGGAUAGACCUUAUUGAUCAUGCUGAGUUAAUUGAUCUCUCUGUGAAUGAAGAGGAUUCCCGUUAAUGCCACAGCGGAACCAAUUUUUAGGAACCAGGGUGGACAUGUCAAAUAGUGAACAGGGGUUUUAAAUCUUGAAGGGAUACAAGACCACAGUUUUGAAGCUCACCUGGCUGCCUGAAACAAGCGAGUUAGUUAACGACGUUGGUGGAGUUCGACCCUAUAAUUAAUUGACUAAUAUCACAAAGAAAAAGGUAUAUUGGUUAUCAGAAUUUUGCAUCCACUUGAGCCAUUCUGAAUAGUGAACUUUUCUUGCAAUGUGAAUAUGUUUUGUUUUGUUUUUUUCCUCCCUUUUUCUGAAGGCCUGAGAAUUUGUUCUUAAACCCGACUUAAUCUAAUAAGCUUGCUGCAUGCUAUAGUCAGCGUAGGAUCUGGUGUCUCGACCAUGUGAUCUUUUUCCUCGAGUUGCUUGUGCCUAAAGAUGCAAGUAGCUAUGCGGAUUCCAACCUCUGAAUUCUAAUCAUCCAUGUGUUUUUGUUCUUAGUCACAGCAAUCACGAACAUACACUAAUUUGGUUCAAGAGGUAAGACCACUUGAGAUAGUACGCAAAGCCGUUAAACCCAAAAUUAUUAAGACUUAAGGUGGAUUCAUAUACUUUGAACUAGUCUGCUUUCUAUAUCACAUGGAUUCAAAUUUGAAAUUGGGCCAACCUCUUUUUUUUUCAAAAAAGAAAAGAAUUAAUUUUCCCUAUUAAGGUUUUCUCAUUGUUAAUGGAACCGGAGUCUCUGACAAGAGGAAUUUUAAAAUACGUCAGAUGUAAUACAAUCAAUCAAUGCAUCUAUAAUAUGUGUGGUUGAAUUUUAUAUAGCCACCAAUUAUAUGCUGAUUCUUCAAAAUAAUUACACAUAUAUCAUAACAUCAUUUACUUAUUGUAUGACUAAUAUAAUACCUCAAAGAUAUUUUAAAAAUUUUCCAUAGACAACAGUCAAUCAAGGGUAAAUCUUAAAUUACGUCAGAAAAAGUCUUUGAAAAAUAUUGAAGAAAGCAUUUACUUGUAUAAUAAAAAAUGCAUAUGAGGGGACAAAAAGAGUGAAGGUACGAGUUUCACUAUUAUCACAACAUUUAUUACUAUUUCAAACAUAGAAAUGUGAACAAUAAUGUAUUUUGUCGAAUUUUCUCUGUUGGUUAUUAAAAUUACUAUGUGUACAUGUGAUGAUUGCUUGCUACUGUGCAAUCCGAUAAUUUGACUUGGAGAAGUAAUCAUAGAAAUGUGAUGAUUACUUGGAGGAGAUUACUCCUAGACUGGCAAUAUUGGUCGUUAGGUUUCUUUGUAGAGCUGACGACAAACUUAUGAAAAUAACGUGACAUAUUGAUACACAACAACAAUAAUGGCAGUGCCAAUCUAUGCAGUGUACAAAAUGAUAUGGCCAAUUUUAAAAUGCGGAACAAAUGCGGAGACCAAAGAGACUGCAGAAACAGUCCCUGAGACAACAGCAAUAAGACAUCAAAAUUGGGAAGAAUUUUCUCAAUGAAGUCGAGACGUCAGGUCACCUAAAAAUGGAUAACAAUAUAUGGUUGUGACUAUCAGAAAAGACCAUAUGCUCGUUGAGUGUGUUUCAAGCAAGGGCUUUGUUUGGCCUUGCACAUAUGCACCCACAAUGCCGAUGAGUGCCGGAAUCAAAUAUCAAAAAAUGUUGAGAUAUGAGAUCGAGCAGAAGAGAUUUCGCCCACUGCAAAAUCAUUAAAAUGAAUAAUCAUCUUCUGUAUAUCCCAUUUCUUUUGAAAAAAAAAAUUAAAAUUAAAAAGACGCUAUAUUAAGUUCCACUCAAAUUGUCUGUCAAUUAUUUGCUUUCAACAAAUCCAAUUCUCCUAUAAAAAUUUGAUGAAGUGCUUUUCUAGUUUCCUUAACAUAUAUGAAAUAUUUUUCAUCUGUAACCCUGUUUCAUCAAAAUUUUACUAUAUACACGCUUGUUUCAACAACGAUCACCAUCACCCUUUAGUGUUACAUAUUGUUGUUGUCGUUAAUUUUGACAAUUUUGACGAUAAAAUAUAAAUUUACCCUCAUUUGAAUUUUGAAAUGUAAAAUUAUCAUAAAACCAUAACAAUAGUUUCAAAUUCCAGUUGACCUGUGCGGAAAUUAAAAUUUCUUAAAGGUUAGAAAAAAGUAAAAAUGUUUUGUUAUGGAAUCAAAAUAUCCCCUCUACCAUCAUCCAUAAUUAUCUAUUCUUGAUAACAAUCUAAUAAACUUGAAAAAGCAAUACAUCCAAUCCCUGUCAAUCAAACAGCCAAACUUCUUCAUAAAGUUUAGCUUUUACUUCUGAAAAUUCUAAUUCUUGAGACCCUAAAUAAAUGGAUAUUCAAAGUUACAUGUUUCUAGAACGAAAAUCUUCAAUUUAGUCCUUUUAAAUUUUGAAAACAUUAAUUUACAUCUAUUUAUCAGUCAAAGGAUUAGAAUAAAUGGAGGCACAUUGAUGACAAACUUUUUAUCUUAUUAAUGGUAUUUGAUAAAUAUAAAUAAAUUGAAAAUUGUCAUUUUAAGUGGAGGUAAAUUAAAAUUUUACUCUGUAUUUAUAGUGCUUUAGUAAGAGAAAGAAAGAAAACAGAAAACAAAUCUCUUCAACGGGAGGCUGAACAAAAUUUUCAGUAGGGACUCAACCAAUUUUUUUCACGGAAAUUUAAUUAGGAGAACAAAAACAAUUUGAAGUGGACCGCAUAUAUUUACUAAAAUAUAAUAUACAAAUUUGAGUCAAUAAUGAUAAAGAAAAUGACCAUACACAGAAGGGUUUGGAUUUGGAUGAUAAAGAAUCCAGUGGCAGCUCCGUAUUUGCGCAUAUAUAUAUAUAAACCCUGGAUUGAGUUUUCUUUUUAGCGAAUAACGUAGGGAACAGAAAACCUGAUCAAUUUGAAAAAAAAAAAGUAAUAAUAAUAAUUAAAUAAAAAAAUUAAAAUGUAACCUCAGCUUGAAACUUGGGAAUGGGAGGAUAAAAGGAAAAGGACAAUAAAAAAUAAAACUCUCACUUUAAGAACAUCUCAACUAUCUCUGCUUAAAAAAAUUAUCUCAUCUCGUGUGUGUGUGUGUGUAGGUAAAACGAGCCUCAUUUUUUAAUUCAAUUUAAUCUCCAAUCGUGAAAAUUUGGUUAAGCUAAAAUGCGGUGCGACCGGGGGGAGUUUCGUCGGAAGGUAAUCGGAUAUUAAAACGAACUCAAUAAGUUAUCAUGAAGCCUAUCGGCAUCAUACUGAAUUACUGAUGCAAAGACAAGCGUUGAAAAUGACUUCUCAGUUUCCAUUUCCCUGUUCCCAUCAAGGGUCAAAGGGCUCCAUUAGCUGCGCGUAAAGGGCCCCAGUGGGAAAUUUAAUCGGUAAGGGGUCCCAGUCAAAAAUGUGAAGGCAUUAAACAAUAGGGGUAAUUUGGGUAUUCGUUUAUUUAAUUUAAUUCGAUUUAAAGUAAAUAAGUUUGAGUUUAAAAAAAAUUAAUUUAUUUAAUAAAUGGUGAAUUCGACUUCAUUUUCACUUUUAGGUUAAUCUGUAUUAAUUAUUUUUAUACUUAUUUAAUUCUUUAUUUAUUGUUAUUGAAGUUUGUCCAGUCAUUUAUUUAUAAGUUUUUCUUUUAUGGAUAUAGUUUAAUAAUUUGGUUGAUGAUUAUGUUAAUCAAUUCUUUUAGGCUCAAUAUUUGAUUCUCUAAUCAUUUAAUUUAGACUUUGAAUUAAGUGUCUAUUUCUUUUUACAGUUCUAAGAGUUGGUUUUGUAGGUUGGACUUGAUCCUUUCAAAACGGUGUUAUUUAUUCAUUAAGUGUACAUGAUUUCUUUAAGAUACUGACAGCCAAAGGGAGAAAAAAAGAAAAAAAGAUUGGAAUGCAUAUAAAGAUACAAAUUAACGAUGAAAUAUGUAGGGAUAACCAAAAAUAAACAAAUAGUUAAGCAACUUUUCUUGAAUCUAUAGAUUUUUUUUUUUUAUCUUCUCAUAUUUUUUACAAAAUUAUUUGAAGAAUUAUUAUAUUUUUUAAUAUAAGAAUUUAUUAAAGUUGAUUAAUUAUUAUGCUCUCUCAUGCAAGCAAGAAUCAUUAAUGAAUAUGUGAUGAUUUGAUUAUUAGGUGUCCAAUAAUAUCCUACAAUAGCUUUUUUUUUUUUUUUUGAUACACUUAUAUAGUACAAUUAGAAUUUUUACUGAUAUUUACAAUCAGAAAUUAGUCGGAACCAUCCUGAAUAAGCCUAUUACAGCACAACCCGAAGUCAACGCUCACUUAAAAGCUGGAGGUGAUCAAUCCUACCCCAAUGUGGGUAGAUAACUAACCCCUAUUAUAUAGGGGAGUCAAUCCUACAAUAGCUUAUUGAAUUGCAAUACUUGGAUUAAAUCUCUUAAGAAAUUGGCUUUCUCAUCUUGUUGCAGAACUCAGUUAGCAACUUAAACACUAUUUCAUGUUGUUUGUCAAACUUUAUCCCUCUUAUUUUGCCUUGUGUCUUCUUCUUAGUCUAAUAAACUGCAUAUAAUAUUAUUACGUAUGAAUACAAGAAAUAGGAAAACAUAUAUAUAUAUAUAUAUAUAAUAAAAAAAUUUAAUAUUACCAGAAAUGUCUAGAGCACUAGGUAGUGCAACAUAUUUGUCAUUUAUUUGUAUAUACAUCAACUGUUGGAGAUGUUUGAAAGAAAUAUGAUCCAAGAGCCAUGCUACAAUGUAUUAUAAUUAUAUAAACCAAAUGACUAAACCAACUAUAUAAAUUCUUUCUCGCAAACAAGAUGAAGCACUAGAAAGUCAGCCAUAAGAUGUGCUUACCAUUUGGUUUCUUUUUUUUUUCAAAGUGAGUUUCAUAGUCUUUUUAUGUUAAAAAUCAACUUUAGUAUAUUAUGUGAUGAUUUUUCAAGUUGGAUUAUUUUAUUAUACUUUGAUUAAUUUUAUUAGUAUCCGAUCAUAUUAUGCAUUGUCGCACAAAAGGUUCUCGUACACAAGUUAUUUUUAAUUUAAAGUUUUUGUUAUUAGAUUUCAAUUUGUAGGACUGAAAUUUGUAAUCACGACUACUUAUUCUUAACAAUGAGACAAAAAGUUUUCUAAUACAAUAUAUAACUUGCCAUUUGCCAAAAAGGUAAUGGUCAGAAGAUAACAAUUUUUCGACUAAAAAUUUUUUCAUCACUGGAUAUCAAUUUACGUGACUAAAAUACGUCAUCAUAGAUGCUUGCUUUAAAUGAUGGUUAAAAAUAGUCAUUAAACUUUUCAGUUAUAAUGUAAAUAGUCGUGAAAAAAAAAUAUUGUUGUUAAAAAUCAUUUAAGACAAUAUUUAAUCUACUUUGCAACAAAAGAAACAGUCACAAAAUAACAUUUUUCGAUUCAAAAUUGUUUUGCCACGAGAUAUCAAUUUAAGUGACUAACCAUUGUAGUUGUGGAUGUAGGGAUGGCAAUGGGGCGGGGUGGGGGUGGGGAUGCCUACCCCAUUCCCCACCCCAUUAAAAAAUUUUGCCUCCAUUCCCCAAUAAAUUUAGUGGGUUGGGGAUGGGGAAUCCCCACGUGGGGAAUGAUUCCCCCAUCCCCACCCCAUUCCCCAUUUACAUAUUUUAUAGUAGAUAUAAAAAUAUGAUUUCAGUAAAUUAAAAAUUAGAGACUUAAGAUAAAAUCAUCACAAUAUUAUAAAGUAUUUAAUUUUUUUAAAAAAUCUCUAAAAAUUUGAAACAAUAUCUUAAAAUGAUAUUAAAAGUGAAAAAUAUUUAAAGAAAACAGCACCUUAAAAGAGAAAAGAAAAUAUAUUAAUGUUUUAAAGUUAAAAAAUAUUGUAGAAUUUUCUUUUAUUCAUAUUCUAUUUAUAUUACAUAAAAAUUAAAAAAAAUUAUUAAUUGACAUUAUAGUUGAUAAAAUACAAAUUAUUAAAUAAGAAUUAAAAACAUAUUUAUAUAUAAUGGGAAUGGGGAUUGGGGUGGGGGUGGGGUGGGGAGUGCAAUACCAAACCCUACCCCGUUAACAAUUUGGGGAUUACUUUUCCUCCACUCCCCACCCCAUUCCCCAAAAAUUAUUAAAAAAUUUCCCCAUUUGGGGUGGGGCUCCAUGGGGCCCCAAACCCGUGGAGGAUUUUGCCAUCCCUACGUGGAUGUUUGCUUCAAAUACCGAGAAAAUAGUCACCUGGAUUUUUCUGAUACGAUGUUACUAGUCAUAAGUGACAACUUGACAAUAAUAUAACGUCGUGAUAGGUAUACUUUAGCGACAAAAACAUAAUGUUGCUAAUUAUAUUUUUGAACCUCUAAAUUGAUGAUUUUGAGUAGCAAUUACUACUAUUUUUACUUACCCUUGAGACAAACAUUUUAGUCACUAUAAAUCACUAAUAGUAACGAAAAUAUAAUGUCGCUAAUUGCACUUUUGACUUUUGAACAUCUAAAUUGACCACUUUGAAUAUCAUUCACGAUGUGUUUAAUUUAAAUUUAGGACAAAUGGUUUAGUCAUAAAAACAUAUUAUUUUAUGUGACAAAUAAUUUUGGUUGCUAUAACCUAAUGUGACACACUUAGUGUGUUACUUUUUGUUAUUCCUGGAUUUGAAAGACAAUUAAUGGUGCACUUACUAAACGAGAGUCGGAAUGGGGUAGAAUCAGAAUGAAUUGGAAUCGAAAUGAGGAAUGAGAAUCAUAAUAAAUUGUGUAUUUUAUUUGUAGGAAUCAAAUUUGGAAUGAGCUGAAUUGCAAUUGAUGUGUUUACUUUGUCUUGGAAUUUAAAUAAGAAUGAAUUAGAUUGUUGUAAAUUACUAAAAAAAAAUUAAUUAACUAUUAUCAUAAUUAUUACUUUUUAUUUUAAUUAUUGUGAUUAUUAUUAAUAAAUAUUGUUAAUGAUAAUUAUUAUUAUUAACAUUAAUAUAAUAAUAAUGGUGAUGAUGAUGAUCAUCAACAAUAUCAUUGUUGGCAUAAUCAUCAUCAACAAUAUCAUUGUUGGCAUAAUCAUCAUCGUCGGCAUUAGAUUAAAACGCGACGGCUACUGUUGCUGCUUGUGACACAACGGCUGCUCAUGACUACUAGAUGUGACGAUUGGCAACUAGUUGUUGCUCCACAAGCAAUGACCGACAGCAACAAGGGAGCUCAUCCACGGAUUGCGUGCUUUUUUUUUAACUGAGGACAAAGUUGGGAUUAUUGAUUAUGUUGGGGGGCAAAAUUGUCACUCCUGGGAAUGAGAGACUAAUUCCCACCCCCUUGGGAAUCAGUCUCUCAUUUCCUAUUCCUAAAUUUGGGUGGGCUCCAUGAUUUCAAUUUCAAUAUUCGCUCUUUUUAUAAAGUAAAUGUUAUCAAUGAUUUCGAUUUUGGAUUCUAAUUCCCCAAUUUAGAAAUUAAACACACCAUAAGUGUAAUUUAUAUUAUGGCAGUUUCAUGGUCGAAAAAUUUCGGUUCGAUUUGGAAUGCCUAUCCCUCUAAUGUUUCACACACACAUGGUCCUCUACUUGUCAUUUCUACAAUUGGUCAUAUGUUUCUAGUCAAUUGCAAGAAGCAAUGUACUCUAGCUAAGUACAUGCAAAGGUCAAAAUCUUAAUCUUAAUUAAUUAAGAUUUAAUUUAUUUUAUAUUUUUAUCUAAUAACUAUCAAUUAUUUUUUCAUAAUAAUUAGAAAAAAAAAUUAGUUUAGUAUUGAAAUCAAAUCCACAUUAGAGUUGGGAUGUUACAAAUAUUUGUCAUAGCUGGAAGUUGAACAUGCAAAGGUUCCAGCAAGUGCCUACCAUCAAACUAGGUCAAGGUACAAAAUGCACCCAACAGAUGGAUAUGCAUGUCCUUUUGUUUGAGAUCUUGUGAGUACAAUGCUCCUAAUCCUCAAUACCACAUACAUAAAAAAAAUGGCCUAUAUAUAAACGCCGUUGUGAUUGAAGAAAAGCGGUAUUGCUAUUACUUACUCUUGCCAAUGGCCUUGAUGGACCACUUUUUCACAUCAAACUAACGCAUAAGAGGUAUAAAGCCUAGGUGUAGGAGAGAAAGCCACAACAUAUAUACAAAAACGCAAUUUGGAUAGACCUUGCCGAUCAUGCUAAGUUAAUUAAUCUGUCUGUGAAUGAAGAAGAUUCACCCUAAUUAAUGCUGAGUAAAUUAUUAGUAACCAGGAUGGACAUGUCAUAUGGUUAAUAGGAGCUUUAAAUCCUGAAACUCACCUGGCUACCUGAAUCAAGUGAGUAAGUUAACCACUUUGGUGGAGUUCGACUAUCUAGUUGACUAAUAUCUCAAAGAAAAGGGUAUGUUGAUUAUCAGAAUUUUACAUUCAGUUAAGCCAUUCUGAACAGAGAACUUUUCUUGCAAUGUGAAUUUGUUUUGUUUUUUUUUUUCUCUUUCCUUUUUCUUGAAGGCACGUGAAUUUGUUCUUAAACCCAUCUUAAUCUAGAUAAGCUUGCUGGAUGCUAUAGUCAUCACAGGAUCAGGUAUCUCAAUCAUGUGAGAUUUUUCCUUGGGUUGUUUGUGCCUAAAUAUCCAAGUAGCUAUGCCUGUUGUUGCCUCUGAAUUCUGAUCAUCUAUGCGUGUUUUUUCUCAGUCACAGCAAUUGCGAACAUACACUUAGUUAGUUCAACCAGUAAGAUUUCUUGAGAUAGUACGUAAAAUCGUUAAAUCAAAAUGAUUACGACCUAAGGCGGAUUCAUUUACUUUGAACUAGUCCUCUUUCUAUGUGGAUUACAAUUUGAAAUUAGACGAACCUAUUUUUUCAUUCAGAAAGAAAAAAAAAAUAUUUUUUUCCCUAUUACAGGUUUUCUCAUUGUUGAAGUAACUAGAGUCUCUCACAAGAGAAAAUCUAGAAUACAUCAGAUGUAAUACAACCAAUUAAUGCAUGUAUGAUAUGUGUAGUUGAAUUUUAUAUAAUCAUCAAUUACAUGUUGAUUCUCAAAGUAAUUGCACAUAUGUUAAAACAUCAUUUACUUGUUGUACAUUAGAUAUAAUACAACCAAUUAAUGCAUGUAUGAUAAGUGUAGUUGAAUUUUAUAUAACCACCUAUUACAUGUUGAUUCUCAAAGUAAUUGCACAUAUGUCAUAACAUCAUUUGCUUGUUAUAUGACUGACAUAGUACCUCAGAGAUAUUUCAGAAUUUUUCCGCUAACAAUACUCAAUCAAUGGUAAAGUUUAAAUUAUGUCAGAAAAAACAUUUGCACAAUUAUUGCUAUUUCAAACAUAGAAAUGUGAAGAGUACUAUAUUUUAUGGAAUUUUCUCCGUUAAUUCUUAAAAUUACUACGUGUACAUGUGAUGAUUGCUUGCUACUGUGUAAGGUGAAACAUUUAAUUUGAAGAAGAUUAAUUCCUUCUAGACUGGUAGUAUAGGUCGUUGCUGCCCUGUCGAGGAAUUCUUAUUAGCUUGAAACCUAUCGCAAAUGUCAAUGCAAAAUGGCUUCAAGGUUUUGUUGUAGAGCUGAUGACAAGCUUCUAAAAACAACAUACCAUAUUGGUACACAACUACAAUAAUGGUAGUCCCAAUCCAUGCAGUGUACAAAAUGAUAUGGUCAACAUUAGAACGUUGAGCAAAUGUAAAGACCAAAGAGAUUGCAGAAAUAGAUCCUAAGACAAUAGCAACAAGGCUCCACAACUGGGAAGAAUUUUCUCCAUGAAGUCGAGAUCUCAGGUCAGCUGAAUGUGCAUAGCAAUAUACGACUGUGGCUAUCCGAAAAGACCAUAUGUCCGUUGAAUGUGUUUCAAGCAAGGGCUUAGUUUAGUCUUGCAUAUUUGCACCCACAAUGCCAAUGAGAGCUGGAAUGAGAUAUCCAAAAAUAUUGGCAUAUGACAUGGAGCAGAAGAGAUUUUACCCACUGCAAAAUCAUAAAAAUGCAUGAUUAACCAUCUUAUGUAUAUCCCAUUUCCUUUGAAAAAAAAUAAAUGAAACUUAAAAAGACCCCAUAUUAAUUUCCAGUCAAAUUGUCUGUCAAUUAAUUAUUUGUUUUUCAAAGAUGCAAUUCUCCUCUAAAAAUUUGAGGGAGCGCUUUUCUAUUUUCAUUAACACAUACGAGAUAUUUUUCAUUUGCGUCCAAAUGUUUCACCAAAUCUUAUUGUGUGCACAUCUGUUUCAACAACUCUCACGGCUCACCGUUUUUGUUAAAUAUUGUUGUUGCCGUUAAUUUUGACAAUUUUGAUGUUAAAUGAUAAUUUUACCAGUCAUUGGAAUUAGGUGUAAAAUUACCAGAAAAUCACGACACUUGUUUCAAAUUCGAAUUUUGACCUAUGUGGAUAUUAAAAUUUCGUAAAGGUUUUUUUUUUUUUUAAAAAAAAAAGAAGUGUAAAAAUGUUUUCUUAUGGGAAUCAAAACAUCCCCUCUACCAUCAUCCAUAAUCAUAUAUUCUUGACAACAAUCUAAUAAACUUGAAAAGCAAGAAAUCCAAUCCGAAUCAAUAAAACAAUCAAAUUUCUUCAUAAAGCUUAGCUCUUGCUUUUGAAAUUUCCAAUUCUUGAGACUCUAAAUAAACCGAUAUUCAAAAUUACAUAUUUCUAGAAUAAAAACCUUCAAUUUACCCCUUUAAAUUUUUGAAAACAUCUAUUUGCCUCUAUUUAUCAGUCAAAAGAUUAGAAUAAAUGGAACCCCGUUGAUGACUAACUUUUUAUAUGCUUAAUGGUAUUUGAUAAAUAUAGCUAAAUUGGGGUAAAUUGAAAUUUUAUUCUACAUUUAGAGUGCUUUAAUAAGAGAAAGAAAGAAAGCAGCAAACCUGAUCUAUUUUAAUAAUAAUAAUAAUAAUAAUAAUAAUAAUAAUAAUAAUAAUAAUAAUAUUAUUAUUAUUAUUAUUAUUAUUAUUAUUAUUAUUAUUAUUAUUAUUAUUAAAUAAAUAAAUAAAUAAAAUUAACAUGUAAACUCAGCUUGAAACUUGGGAGAAAUAAAUAUGUGAAUUUUAUUACAUGUUGAUUCUUCAAAUUAAAAUGUAAACACACUCAAUAAACAUUAGACAUAAUACAACUAAUUAAUGCAUGUAUGAUAUGUAUCAUUGAAUUUUUUUACAUGCUGAUUCUUCAAAUUAAUUGCACACAUAUUAGAAAAUCAUGUGUUUGUUGUAUGAUGGACAUAGUAUCUAAAGAUAUUUUAAAAUUUUUCCUCUGAUAAUGCUCAAUCAAAUUAAGGGUAAAGGUUAAAUUAUGAUAGAAAAAGUCUUUGAAUAAUAUUGAACAAAGCAUUUACUUGUAUACUAAAAGAAUGCAUAUGAGGGGCCAAAAAGAGUGAAGAUAUGAGUUUGACUAUUAUCACAUCAAUUAUUACUAUUUCAAACAUAGAAAGAUGAAACUAACAUAUUUUGUGGAAUUUCCUCUGUUACUUACUUAAAAUUACUACGUUACAUGUGAUGAUUGCUUGUUAUUGUCUAAGGUGAAACAUUUAAUUUGAAAAAGAUUAGUUCCUUCUAGAUUGGUAGUACUGAUUGUUGCUGCCCUGUCGAGGAAGUAUUAUUAGCUUGAAACCUAUUGCAAAUGUCAAUGCACAAUGGCUUCAAGGUUUCGCUGUAGAGCUGACGACAAGCUUCAGAAAACAAUGUCCUGUAUUGAUACACAACAAUAAUGACAGUGCCAUUCCACGCAGCGCACAAAAUGAUAUGGCCAGUAUUAGAAUGUGGAAAAAAGGUGGAGAUCAAAGAGAUUGCAGAAGUAGAUCCUGAGACAACAGCAACAAGGCACCAGAACUGGGAAGAAUUUUCUCGACGAAGUCGAGACUUGAGGUCCACUGAAUGUGCAUAACAAUAUAUGACUGUGGCAAUGAGAAAAGACCAUAUAUUUAUUGAGUGUGUUUCAAGUAAGGGCUUAGCUUGGUUGCCUUGCGCAUUCGCACCCACAAUGCCGAUGAGAGCCGGAAUGAGAUAUCCAAAAAUAUUGGGAUAUGACAUCGAGCAGAAGAAAUUUCGCCCACUGCAAAUCAUUAAACUGCAUGAUUAACCAUCUUCUAUAUAUCCCAUUUCCUUUGAAAAAAAAAAUAAUAAAUAAAACUUAAAAAAGACCUCGUAUUAAUUUCCACUCAAAUUGUCAGUCAAUUAAUUUAUUACUUAUUUUCUUUUGGCUGAUGUAAUCUCCUCUAAAAAUUUGAGAGAGCACUUUUCUAUUUUCAUUAGCACAUGUAUAUGAGAUAUUUUUCAUCUGCGUCCAAAUUUUUCAUUAGAUUUUAUUGUGCGCGGACUUGUUUCAAUAACUCUCAUGACUCACCUUUUUUGUUAAAUAUUGUUGUUGCCAUUAGUUUUGAUGAUUAGUGUAAAAUUAUUAGAAAACCACAACACCUGUUUCAAAUUCCAAUUUUGACCUACAUGGAAAUUAAAAUUUCUUAAAGGUUAAAAAAAAGAGUAAAAAUGUUUUCUUAUGGGAAUCAAAAUAUCCCCUCUACCAUCAUCCAUAAUCAUCUAUUCUUGAUAUUAAUCUAAUAAACCGAUAUUCAAAAUUACAUGUUUCUAGAAUGAAAAAAACUUCUAUUUAUCCCUUUAAAUUUUUUAAAACAUCUAUUUACCUCUAUUUAUCAGUCAAAAGAUUAGAAUAAAUAGAAGCGCGUUGAUGACUAACUUUUUAUCUGCUUAAUGGUAUUUGAUAAAUGUAGAUAAAUUGGGGUAAAUUGAAAUUUUAUUCCACAUUUAGAGUGCUUUAAUAAGGGAAAGAAAGAAAACAGAAAACAAAUCCCUUCGAUACGAGGCUUAACAAAAUUUUCAGCAUGGACCUAACCAAAAUUUUUUCACGCGAAUUAAAUUAGGAGAACAAAAACAAUUUGAAAUGGACUGCAUAUGUAUACUCAAAAAUAAAAUACAGCUUGAGUCAAUAAUGGUAAAGAAAAUGACCAUACACCGAAAGGUUUGGAUCUUGAUGAUGCAGAAUGCAGUGGCAGCUUUGCAUUUGCAUUUAUAUACCUCGCCAAACCCCGGAUUGGGUUUUCUUUUUCACGGCAAAUAAGGCAGGGACAAGCAAACCUGAUCGAUUUUAGAACAAAAAUAAUUAAAUAAAUAAAUAAAAGUAAAAUGUAGACUCAGCUUGAAACCUUGGAGAAAAAAAUAACAAUAACAAAGUAAAAAAAAUCACUUACCUUAAGAACAUCUCAAUUAUCUCGUGGAUUGGGUGUUUAUACGGGCAAAAUGAGGGCCAAUUCAACCCCAAUGUAAUCCCGAUUCCGGAACACGUUUGGUCAAGCUCAAGUGCGGCCGAAUGGGGAGGGUUUCCUAGAAAGGUCGCACGGUAGUCCCCCUUAGAAAGUGAAAAUGAAGCCUAUCCUCAAUCAUACUGAUGCAACACAAGGGAGAUUUUUUUUUGGUUAGAUGUAGAGAAUGAUUAAACAGGUCCCAUCAAGUUCAGCGGGCAAGGGCCCCCCGGUAGCUACACGUGAAGAGGGGGCCCCCAGCGCCCCGGCGGGGAAAUUUAAGUGGUACGGUGCCAAUUAAAAUGUGAUUAACUUAUCAAAUAUCAAGAUUUUUUCCAAUAAGGACAUUAGUUUUGCAUUCGUUCGUCUCAAUUAAAUGGUACGGUCCAAUUAAAAUGUUACUAACUUAUCAAAUAUCAAGAUUUUUUUCCAAUAAGGGCAUUAGUUUUGCAUUCGUCUCAAAUAGGUCCCUAACCUUGUAUGACGACUAAGAUACCCUUAGGCGUUAUAUAACUUAGGAAAAUGAUGUUUGUCUCGGGUUAAAUCCCAAAAAUAACUUAAACGGCGUCGUUUUGAGUUUUUUUUUUCUUUUUUAUACUCCAAAACGUUGCCGUUUCUGAUGGACGAUUUUGAGAAGAAUUAAACAAACCUCUUCCUCUUCGUUUCUUCGUUUCAGCUGGGAAAGCCACAGAUAGAAGAGCAAGUUCGUUAAAAAAAUUUGUUUUUUCGUUUCUUCGUUUCUUCGUUUGUUAAAAAAUUUCGUUACUUUCCUUCCUCGACCAAGGUCCAGGCAUUCGGGAUCCACCAACGGUCACCGUCAACGCUGACAGCCACGGUCACCGUCAACGCUGACAGCCACGGUCACCGUCAACGCUGGUAACGCUGGUAGCCGAAACUUGUUUGGGAAAUUAAACUCACGAAGCGGCAAAGUUCACAGCCUGAGGUAAUGCUUCGUUUUUUCCUCUUUAGGUUAUGGCAAAAUGGGGAAGAUCUAGGUUAGGACAGUUAUGAUUAUUUUUCGGCUGAAUUUGGAUAGCUAUUGUGAUUCCCGUUUUAUUUAAGUGUGUUAAAUUGCAAUUGAUUUUCGGCUGAAUUUGGGUACAAUUUUGAAUUUGCUAAUGUUGAGGUUGAGGAUGAGGAUGAGGAUUAGUAUUAUUGAUGGAGGCUUCUAUUGUGUGCAUUUUGGUAUAUAGAUUGUGUGCAUUUUGGUAUAUAGAUUGCUGGCUGGCUGGUUGAUUGUCGAAUUUAUUGGUAACUUGUUGAACUUGGUUGCUGGUUGUUUGCUUGUACAGUUUAUUGGUAACUUUGUUGAACUUGGUUGCUGGCUGGUUGCUGGUUGCUUGUAGCCUUUCUGGCAUAUUGGUUGUAGUUUCAAACCUUUGUGAUUGUGUGUGUGUGUGUGUGUGUGUCUGUGUGUGUGUGUCUGUGUCUCUGUGUGUGUGUGUGUGUGGUUCUGUGUGUGUGUGUGUCUGUGUGUGUGUAUGGUUGUGUGUGUGUGUGGUUGUGUGUGUGUGUGUGUGUGUGUGUGUGUGUCUGUGUGUCUGUGUGUGUGUGUCUGUGUGUCUGUGUCUGUGUGUCUGUGUCUGUGUGUGGUUCUCUGUGUGUGUGUGUGUGUCUGUGUCUGUGUUUUGAAUGUUUGGAAGAGGUUUUAGUAUGUUAUCUGUUUUUGGAAUAAUAGUUUCCCACCAUACCAAUAAAUCAGGGCUGCAUUGGCUGCCGUCAGGAACUGCCUGAUAAAUAAUUCGAGCCCUGCAUACCAGGAUUGCUUCUGGCUUUCUUUUUUGGGGCUUAUCUCUGUAUGCUUAUGAAGUUUCAGAAUCAUUUGUAAAUCAAAUGCUGUAAUGAUGUUGUGGUUUCCAACAGCCUCACUUGCUAAUCCACUGCUCUUGCUCUUGCUCUGCCAACAACCAAUAUGCCAGAAAUAACACACACACACACAGACACACACACACACACACACACACACACACAGAACCCCACACACACACAUACACACAGAACCACACACACACACACAGAGAACCACACACACACACACAGACAAACACACACACACACACAGAGAACCACAGACACACACACACAGAACCAUACACACACACAAGACACACACACACACACAGAAUUUGACACACAUUGUUCUGGUUUUCUUUUCAUUAUUAACUGUAAUUGUAUCCCUUUUCGGCAGUUUCUUUCCAACGGUAUAUGGCUUCACAAACAAUGUCAUCCAACACAAGCGAGAAUCGAAUGUGUAAUGGAUGCGGUGAUCAGAUGGAGCUGUUAACGUCACACAUAACAAAAAAUCCAAAUCGCAAAUUUUGGAUUUGUAGAGGAUAUAACAACUUUCAAUGGGCAGAAGAUCGUAAAUCUAGCGAAGAGAAGAUAAACUUGUUAGUGGAUGAGGUUAGGAAGUUGGCCUUGGAGAUUGAGUGUUUGGCCGUAAAAUUUCAAUUAUUGCAUAAAGAACUUGAGCAUAUGCGAGAUCGUGAAGUGCAGAGGCAAUUGUUGGACAACGAACUUCGAAAGAGAGAGGCACCACGAUAUGAUUUUAUUAAAUUAAUCAUGAUUGUUGUAUUAUGUUAUCUAUUUAAGUACUGUUUUUAAGUUGUUUGUAUUUGUACUAUGUUACUGGAAAAUACUUCUAUUGUAGAAUUUGACCACGAUAUGUAAUAACAUUUUCAUGUAAUAACAUUUUCAUGCAAUGCUCGGACUCACGGCAUGGUUGUGUUCAAGGAUCAAAUUUCCAAUUACCCAUUUUCCACUAACAAUAUCCAAACGUCCUCCAAUUUUAGCAUUGCAUCCAAUUUUUUGGUUUGGUUGAAGCCGCAAAACAUUAGUGGCUUUGGCUUUUGACUUCCCGUUUCUCCCACAAGUAAAUGUAACAUAUCUCAAACUCCCAUCUUCCCCUUUUCUACAAGAUCUCCGCAUCACUGGAAACCCCUCUUGUAGACCAUACGUUUUAUAAUAUUCAAACAUUUCAUCAGGACUAUCAAAAGACAUCCCAACUGUAGGCUCAACAACAUUUUCCACCACCAAUUCCUCAUUGUUUUCUUCCAAAUUAGCCCCCCAGUAAAUCCUGCAAUUCCCCAACUUCAUCAACCUCCUCCACUUGUUCGAAAUUAUCCAUUAACUGCUGCAAAUGAAAAUGGGAAGAGUUAAUCGAAAUUAUCCACUUGUUCGAAAUUCCCCAAUGCAAAUGCAUGUUAAUUUGCCUAAAGUUUUCAUAUGAUUCUAGGCAGUAAAAGAUGAGAAAAAAGAUUUUAAUCAACAAUGCAAACCCUCCCACCCCAAUUCGUAAGUAUUGCGCAAGUUCUGUAGUUCUUUAAUUGCUCAUGCCGAUUCCAAAAUUUAGUAAUAAUAAUAAUAGAAUAAGAAGAGGAAUUUUAUUCUCGAGCAUUAUCAUACUUUAAUGCAUGUACCCAUUAUAUUAACUUAAUUGUCAAAUAACGGCAAUAUCACCCAAAACAAAGUUUCAUACAAUGUUGUAAAAAAUAAAUUAUGAUUUGAGAACUGAAAAAAUAAUAUGAGAACUGAAAAAAUGAGACAAAUCAAGAAUAUGAGAACUGAAAAAAUUAAUUCAAUGUUACAAUGUUCUAAAAACGAAGGCCAACUUCCUAAAAUAAAAUUAAAAAACAAAAUGCUACAAUGUUAAUCUUCCGUCCAAACUCAGCUUUCAACCGUCCAAAUUCAGCUUGUCCAAACUCAGCUUUCAACCGUCCAAACUCAUCUUGUCCAAACUCAUCUUUCAACCGUCCAAACUCAUCUUUCAAGGACACAUUUCGCAGCCGAAACUCAGCUGCUGUUGGUCUUGUUCUUCAAUGGGUGCGAAACGAAAAAGAAACUCAGACGCUUUCAACUCAGCUUACAAGGACAAAUUUCGCAGCCGAAACUCAGCUGCUGUUGGUCUUGUUCUUCAAUGGGUGCGAAACGAAAAACAAACUCAGACGAAGAGGAUGGAGCUUUAAUUAGUAGAUCCCGUUCUGCUGUCGAUGAGUGCUCCGGCUGUGGAUCUCGGUCGAGGAUGGAAGAAACGAAAAAGAAACGAACAAACGAAAAAGAAAAUAAAAGAAAACGACGCAAAUCAUUCAAUAAACAAACGAAAAAGAAAAAAAAAAAAAAAAGAAACGACGCCAUUUUGUAUUUUUCGGGGUUUGACCCGGGGCAAACAUCAGCACUCUAUAACCUAUACACUUGCUGUUUUGUUCUGCAAAGGAAGGACAACACCCUUUACCUCAGAGCCUUUGAGCUCAGUCUGAGGGCACAUAAAAGGUCGCUUGAAGAACAAGCGGAGUUGAUGUGAGUGUUGCGUUGCCGCAUGGCAAAGAAUAAGAGGGUAUCGCACUAUCGCUAAUCCCUGCGGCAUUUGACGACUAUUAUUAUCAAAACAAGUAUAAAAUUUGACGAAAAUAUCACAACAAUUAUUACCUUCGAUAAAAUUUAACAAAAAUAUAUAUCAUUGGUAUUUCAAAUAUAGAAAUCCGAGUAUAAUAGAAAUAUUUCAAUCUAGAAUCAUAGAUUUCUUAAAGUCUGAAAAAGUUAUGAUUUAAUACAAUAAUAGUUGGAAAAGCUAUUAAGGCAUAAGAUUUUAGUAGUAUAAUAACAUUAUACUAUUAAAUCAUAUGUCUUAAUAACUUUCCCAAACUAUAAUAAAAUUUAGGAUCAUGAAUCAAAUUAGUACACCUGAACACAAAUAUAAUAUAAAUAUAUAUGUUUACGGAAUUUCUCCACUACAUUUCUUUUUGUUCUAAGGAGGUUGUUCCUUAUCACUAGACCUAUAACUUGACAUAGCAGUUAUGAUGAUUGCUACUAGCAGGUGAAACAUUUAAAGAAGAGUUAUUAGCUUGAACCUAUUGCAAAUGUCAGAGCCAAAAGGCUUCAAUGUUUCAUGGUAGAGCUGAUGACAAGUGGUGGCAGCGGUUCAAGCUUUUGUGGGGGCUAAAUGUUCUUAAUAUUUAUAAAUUAUUUUCUCUUUCGAAAUGCGAGUGGGAUAUGAAUAUCCCUCCUUUGUGAGAGGUUAUUUGUCUGGACAUGUACUUCACAUAAUUUAAUAUAAUAAUGUAAGUCUCAAUCAUGUACUUCACAGAAUUCAAUGUAAUAAUGUAAAUCUCAAUCAUGUAUAUCUGAUUGUAAAUAUCAGUGUAAUAUAUUUACUAUAAUAAUAAUUGUAAAUAUUUAUGUAAUGUAGUAAUCUGAUGUGUAAUCAGUAUUUAAAAAAAAAAAAAAAGACUGGUGACAAGCAUAAAUAAACAAUAUGAGAUAGUGAUACACGACAAUGAUAAUAGCAAAGCAAAUCCAUUAAAGUGUGCAAAAUGAUGUGACCGCUGACCAGUAUUUGACCAAUAUUAAUAUUAGAGCGUUGGCUGUUGAGACCAAAGAGAGUGCAGAAACAGACCCUUGGACAACAACAAGGCCCCCGCCACCAAAAUCAGGAAGAAACUUUUCGAUGAAGUUUAGACCUCAGUGCCAGCUAAACAUGCAUAACAAUAAAUGGUUAUGGCUAUCAGAAAAGACCAUAUAUUUACUAAGUGUGUUUUAAGUAAGAGCUUAGUUUUACCUUACAUAUUUGUAGUGUCGCAUUCAGAAUUAAAGCCUAAUAGCAGCAAAUAUAAUUUCUUUAAUUUAUUUUCCUAAAAUGUUUUAAAAUAAUUUUGGAUAUAACAUACUCAUUUAAAAUGAUUUUAAUGAUGAUAAUUUAAUUUUCAGUAUAUAAUCUUAUAAAUUACUUAAAGUCGGUGGAGUAAAUUAAAAAUUUUAUUAGGACAAAAAUUUUUUUAUUGAAUUUUAGAAAAUAUUUUUAGAAAAAAGAUUAAGACUUACGGGGACAACUGCCACAGCUUGUCUUUACGUGACUCCACCAGUGCCGAUAUUUGCACCCACAAUGCCGAUAGGAGCUGCAAUGAGAUAUCCAAAAAUACUAAGGUAUGUGAAUAAAGAAAUCAUCUUAGACCCACCAGUCCUUUGAACUAAAACCACCAACAUGCGAAGAAGAAGGAUUUAGAAUAAAUAAAUAAAUACAAAGUUUUGCUUUUUUUUUUUGCUACAAGAGAAGAAAAUUUGAAUUAGCUAUUUGGAAGAGAUAGGCAUGCUCAAACUAAAUUUUUCCCUUGGGUAUUAAUCAAUGGUCAUAACCCGGAUUUGAAAUGGUAAUUUAAUUUCGCUGUUACCCAGAUUUGAAAGACAGUAUUAAGUGCAAUUUAUGUUUCAGCAGUUUAUGGUCGAAAAUGUAAGUGAAGUCGUUAGCAGAUUGCCUAUUAUUAGGAUUUUUAUUGAUCUAAAUUCUCUUGAAUUUUUAAGAUGCGUACUGUAGUAGUAAGGUAUGGAUAGAAUUUAAGUUCUUAAUUUUUUUUUUAUGUAUUAACCACCAAUCAACGUAUGAAUUUAAGAAAUUUAGAUCAGAAGAGAAUUUCAUCCUUUUGUAUUGAGAUGUUAUAAUUUAAAAAACUGAAAAUAAAUUAUAAUUAUAAAAUAAAAAUUAACAUCUUAAUAAUUUUGACCGAAAAGUAAAAAUACUGUAGAUUUUUCAUUAUAUAUGUAGUAAAUUAAAUCAAUUUAAUUUUUAAGCCACAAUUAUUAUUAUCUACCAAAUAUUUAGGGCUAUAGCUAACCUUAACACUAAAUGGGGGCAUUCGGCUCCCACGAUUAAUCUGUUGAGGCUGCAUUGGUUGGAAUGUACGAUGAGGAUGGCAUUUUUUGUCUUAUUCGUGCUUCAUAAAUCAUUAUAAAGCCGAUUAUUCGUGGCAGACAUUUGAUUAAUAUCUCCUCGCGGUUUCAUAUGGAAAAUUGGGAUGUUACCAGCGUUGUGUUGUCUUAAUAUUUUCCUGUAGUUUUUGCAACCCAGUACGCCACCUGUCAUCUUGUUUGCCCUCGAGGAUGAACAGAAGCCCAGUGCGCAAUGGGCAAAAGGAUUGACAGUGACUUGGUUUCAGGUACAAUUUGUCCGCAACAGCAAAUUAAAUAAAAUAAAGUAAUAAUUAAUAAAUAGAUUAAUUUGAAGAAAUUUAAAUUUUUAUUAAUAUAUUUUUCGUAUUUCAAGGAUUAAAUACCUCUCUAGUUUUUUUUAUACACUUAUUUAUUACAAUAUUGAUAUUUAGAAUCAGAAAUUUAUCAGAACUUAUUUGAGUAAUUCUAUUAUAGCACAAGCUGAAUAUCAAUCCUCACUAAAUUGGAGAAAAAUUUGUCUUCACUAUUAUUAAAGAGAAAUCGAUCAUAUUCCUACCCCAAUAUGGGGAGUCAAUUAACUCCCAUUAUAUAGAAAAAUAAAUCCCAACGAUGACCCUAAGCUGGGACUUGAAUCCAUGCCCUCAAGGUUGUUGAGGGCAUGGGCACACCAAUGGGCUUGUAGCCCAUUGGCAAAUACCUCUCUAGUUGAUAAAUAAUAUUCCAGAUUUUUAUUACUAUAGUUGAUGCUAGUUAGUCCACAUAUAAAACUUAAAAAUUAAGAAUAGGAAUAAAAACUAGACACCAUUAAUUUAAACUAAAACAAAUAAUUUGUUCACUAACCAACCACAAGUUUACUAAGUCCAAGUACACGUUAAUCACGACCAAUAGGAUGAAUACAGUUUAAAACAAAUAAAAAUAUAGAAUUAGGGAUCGUAACACUCCUUCACCUUAAAAGUACUCUUUGCCGUCAAGGGUGGACUUUGUUAAGGAGUCUUCUCUCGUCAACAUACUUCUCCGAAUUUGACCACGACAACAUAAUAAUGGCUAGAGUCCCGUCACCGUCCAACCAUAAUGGCCACUUCAAGGCCAAAGGUUUUGCGUGUGUGCAUGCUUCUUGACUUUUUCAUUGGUGCAUUAAAUUUUGUUUUGUAUUCCGAAAUCAAGCAUGCAUGCAUGCUCCUUGGCUCUUUUCAUAUUCCACAAGGAUGCAUUAAAAAAUAAAACUCUCACUUUAAGAACAUCUCAACUAUCUCUGCUUAAAAAAAUUAUCUCAUCUCGUGUGUGUGUGUGUAGGUAAAACGAGCCUCAUUUUUUAAUUCAAUUUAAUCUCCAAUCGCGAAAAUUUGGUUAAGCAAAAAUGCGGUGCGACUGGGGGGAGUUUCGUCGGAAGGUAAUCAGAUAUUAAAACGAACUCAAUAAGUUAUCAUGAAGCCUAUCGGCAUCAUACUGAAUUACUGACGCAAAUGACUUCCGAGUUUCCAUUUCCCUGUUCCCAUCAAGGGUCAAAGGGCUCCAGUAGCUGCGCGUAAAGGGCCCCAGUGGGAAAUUUAAUCGGUAAGGGGUCCCAGUCAAAAAUGUGAAGGCAUUAAACUAUAGGGGUAAUUUGGGUAUUCGUUUAUUUAAUUUAAUUCGAUUUAAAGUAAAUAAGUUUGAGUUUAAAAAAAAUUAAUUUAUUUAAUAAAUGGUGAAUUCGACUUCAUUUUCACUUUUAGGUUAAUCUGUAUUAAUUAUUUUUAUACUUAUUUAAUUCUUUAUUUAUUGUUAUUGAAGUUUGUCCAGUCAUUUAUUUAUAAGUUUUUCUUUUAUGGAUAUAGUUUAAUAAUUUGGUUGAUGAUUAUGUUAAUCAAUUCUUUUAGGCUCAAUAUUUGAUUCUCUAAUCAUUUAAUUUAGACUUUGAAUUAAGUGUCUAUUUCUUUUUACAGUUCUAAGAGCUGGUUUUGUAGGUUGGACUUGAUCCUUUCAAAACGGUGUUAUUUAUUCAUUAAGUGUACAUGAUUUCUUUAAGAUACUGACAGCCAAAGGGAGAACAAAAGAAAAAAAGAUUGGAAUGCAUAUAAAGAUACAAAUUAACGAUGAAAUAUGUAGGGAUAACCAAAAAUAAACAAAUAGUUAAGCAACUUUUCUUGAAUCUAUAGAUAUAUUUUUUUUAUCUUCUCAUAUUUUUUACAAAAUUAUUUGAAGAAUUAUUAUAUUUUUUAAUAUAAGAAUUUAUUAAAGUUGAUUAAUUAUUAUGCUCUCUCAUGCAAGCAAGAAUCAUUAAUGAAUAUGUGAUGAUUUGAUUACUAGGUGUCCAAUAAUAUCCUACAAUAGCUUUUUUUUUUUUUUUUUUGAUACACUGAUAUAGUAAAAUCAGAAUUUUUACUGAUAUUUACAAUCAGAAAUUAGUCGGGACCAUCCUGAAUAAGCCUAUUACAGCACAACCCGAAGUCAACGCUCACUUAAAAGCUGGAGGUGAUCAAUCCUACCCCAAUGUGGGUAGAUAACUAACCCCUAUUAUAUAGGGGAGUCAAUCCUACAAUAGCUUAUUGAAUUGCAAUACUUGGAUUAAAUCUCUUAAGAAAUUGGCUUUCUCAUCUUGUUGCAGAACUCAGUUAGCAACUUAAACACUAUUUCAUGUUGUUUGUCAAAUUUUAUCCCUCUUAUUUUGCCUUGUGUCUUCUUCUUAGUCUAAUAAACUGCAUAUUAUAUUAUUACGUAUGAAUACAAGAAAUAGGAAAACAUAUAUAUAAUAAAAAAAUUUAAUAUUACCAGAAAUGUCUAGAGCACUAGGUAGUGCAACAUAUUUGUCAUUUAUUUGUAUAUACAUCAACUGUUGGAGAUGUUUGAAAGAAAUAUGAUCCAAGAGCCAUGCUACAAUGUAUUAUAAUUAUAUAAACCAAAUGACUAAACCAACUAUAUAAAUUCUUUCUCGCAAACAAGAUGAAGCACUAGAAAGUCAGCCAUAAGAUGUGCUUACCAUUUGGUUUCUUUUUUUUUUCAAAGUGAGUUUGAUAGUCUUUUUAUGUUAAAAAUCAACUUUAGUAUAUUAUGUGAUGAUUUUUCAAGUUGGAUUAUUUUAUUAUACUUUGAUUAAUUUUAUUAGUAUCCGAUCAUAUUAUGCAUUGUCGCACAAAAGGUUCUCGUACACAAGUUAUUUUUAAUUUAAAGUUUUUGUUAUUAGAUUUCAAUUUGUAGGACUGAAAUUUGUAAUCACGACUGCUUAUUCUUAACAAUGAGACAAAAAGUUUUCUAAUACAAUAUAUGACUUGCCAUUUGCCAAAAAGGUAAUGGUCACAAGAUAACAAUUUUUCGACUAAAAAUUUUUUCAUUACUGGAUAUCAAUUUACGUGACUAAAAUACGUCAUCAUAGAUGCUUGUUUUAAAUGAUGGUUAAAAACAGUCAUUAAACUUUUCAGUUAUAAUGUAAAUAGUCGUGAAAAAAAUAUAUUGUUGUUAAAAAUCAUUUAAGACAAUAUUUAAUAUACUUUGCAACAAAAGAACAGUCACAAAAUAACAUUUUUCGAUUCAAAAUUGUUUUGCCACGAGAUAUCAAUUUAAGUGACUAACCAUUGUAGUCGUGGAUGUUUGCUUCUAAUACCGAGAAAAUAGUCACAUACGAUGUUACUAGUCAUAAGUGACAACUUGACAAUAAUAUAACGUCGUGAUAGGUAUACUUUAGCGACAAAAACAUAAUGUUGCUAAUUAUAUUUUUGAACCUCUAAAUUGACGAUUUUGAGUAGCAAUUACUACUAUUUUUACUUACCCUUAAGACAAACAUUUUAGUCAUUAUAAAUCACUAAUAGUAACGAAAAUAGAAUGUCGCUAAUUGCACUUUUGACUUUUGAACAUCUAAAUUGACCACUUUGAAUAUCAUUCACGACGUGUUAAAUUUAAAUUUAGGACAAAUGGUUUAGUCAUAAAAACAUACUAUUUUAUGUGACAAAUAAUUUUGGUUGCUAUAACCUAAUGUGACACACUUGGUGUGUUUAAUUGUAAUUUACUUUUUGUUAUUCCUGGAUUUGAAAGACAAUUAAUGGUGCACUUACUAAACGAGAGUCAGAAUGGGGUAGAAUCAGAAUGAAUUGGAAUCGAAAUGAGGAAUGAGAAUCAUAAUAAAUUGUCUAUUUUAUUUGUAGGAAUCAGAUUUGGAAUGAGCUGAAUUGCAAUUGAUGUGUUUACUUUUUCUUGGAAUUUAAAUAGAAAUGAAUUAGAUUGUUGCAAAUUACUAAAAAAAAUUAAUUAACUAUUAUCAUAAUUAUUACUUUUUAUUUUAAUUAUUGUGAUUAUUAUUAUUCUUAUUAUUAAAUAUUGUUAAUGAUAAUUAUUAUUAUUAACAUUAAUAUAAUAAUAAUGGUGAUGAUGAUGAUCAUCAUAAUCAUCAUCAACAAUAUCAUUGUUGGCAUAAUCAUCAUCGUCGGCAUUAGAUUAAAACGCGACUGCUACUGUUGCCGCUUGUGACACAACGGCUGCUCAUGACUACUACUGCUUGUGAUGUGACGACUGGCAACUAGUUGUUGCUCCACAAGCAAUGACCGACAGCAACAAGGGGGCUCAUCCACGGAUUGCGUGCUUUUUUUUUUUUUUUUUAACUGAGGACAAAGUUGGGAUUAUUGAUUAUGUUGGGGGGCAAAAUUGUCGCUCCUGGAAUGAGAGACUGAUUCCCACCUCCUUAGGAAUCAGUCUCUCAUUUCCUAUUUCUAAAUUUAGGUGGACUCCAUAAUUUCGAUUUUAAUAUUCGCUCUUUUUAUAAAAUAAAUACUAUCAAUGAUUUCGAUUUUGGAUUCUACUUGUCAUUUCUGGCAGUUUCAUGGUCGAAAAGUUUUGGUUCGAUUUGGAAUGCCUAGCCCUCUAAUGUUUCACACACACAUGGUCCUCUACUUGUCAUUUCUACAAUUGGUCAUAUGUUUCUAGUCAAUUGCAAGAAGUAAUGUACUCUAGCUAAGUACAUGCAAAGGUCAAAAUCUUAAUCUUAAUUAAUUAAGAUUUAAUUUAUUUUAUAUUUUUAUCUAAUAACUAUCAAUUAUUUUUUCAUAAUAAUUAGAAAAAAAAUUAGUUUAGUAUUGAAAUCAAAUCCACAUUAGAGUUGGGAUGUUACAAAUAUUUGUCAUAGCUGGAAGUUGAACAUGCAAAGGUUCCAGCAAGUGCCUACCAUCAAACUAGGUCAAAGUACAAAAUGUACCCAACAGAUGGAUAUGUUAGAUUUAUUUCUCAUAUUAUGUGGACUGACAUAAAUCAUUCUAAUUGUUUUCUAUAUUUUACCGAAUUAAUACGUGACUAAUGUCAAAUAUUAUGGAGCAAUUUUGACAGACUGAUCAAAUAUUGUGUUAAUGAGUCUGAUUUUGACAUACCCUAUACAGUAGUAUAGUAUGGACAAGUAUAAUCCUUAAUUGUGUUAUUUUAGCUCAUAAUGGGAUGGGCAAUUUUGUACUAACACAUGAGGGGUCCAUGCGCUCAACCACUGUGUUUAAGUAACUUCAGCCCAUUGGCAGGUUACUGUUCAAGAAAUCUGUGGCAUGAGUGCAGUGCACCUCUCUCUCUCUCUCCCUCUUGUCUCCCGUGUGUGCACAGUGACUUGUUGAGGAAAGCUGAAGGAAAGGAAGCGGGAAUUCAUAAGCUGGAUCAAAGUUGUAGCAACUCUGUUAAAGCUCCAUAACAAGCUUCCAAGCUCGGAUCCAUGGGAGAUCAUGGUAAAUUUUCGAAAUGACCUAAAAUAUGUGUUUAUUUGGAAAUGCAAUAUUAAGGGUAUAAAGUUUAUUUUUGUUUCAUCAGGAUAUGCAUGUCCUUUUGUUUGAGAUCUUGUGAGUACAAUGCUCCUAAUCCUCAAUACCAUAUACAUAAAAAAAUGGCCUAUAUAUAAACGCCGUUGUGAUUGAAGAAAAGCGGUAUUGCUAUUACUGACUCUUGCCAAAGGCCUUGAUGGACCACUUCUUCACAUCAAACUAACGCAUAAGAGGUAUAAAGCCUAGGUGUAGGAGAGAGAGCCACAACAUAUAUACAAAAACGCAAUUUGGAUAGACCUUGCCGAUCAUGCUAAGUUAAUUAAUCUGUCUGUGAAUGAAGAAGAUUCACCCUAAUUAAUGCUGAGUAAAUUAUUAGUAACCAGGAUGGACAUGUCAUAUGGUUAAUGGGAGCUUUAAAUCUGAAACUCACCUGGCUACCUGAACCAAGUGAGUAAGUUAACCACUUUGGUGGAGUUCGACUAUCUAGUUGACUAACAUCUCAAAGAAAAAGGUAUGUUGAUUAUCAGAAUUUUACAUUCAGUUAAGCCAUUCUGAACAGAGAACUUUUCUUGCAAUGUGAAUUUGUUUUGUUUUUUUUUUUUUUUUUUUCUCUUUCCUUUCUUUUGAAGGCACGUGAAUUUGUUCUUAAACCCAUCUUAAUCUAGAUAAGCUUGCUGGAUGCUAUAGUCAUUACAGGAUCAGGUAUCUCAAUCAUGUGAGAUUUCUCCUUGGGUUGUUUGUGCCUAAAUAUCCAAGUAGCUAUGCCUGUUGUUGCCUCUGAAUUCUGAUCAUCCAUGUGUGUUUUUUCUCAGUCACAGCAAUUGCGAACAUACACUUAGUUAGUUCAAUCAGUAAGAUUUCUUGAGAUAGUACGUAAAAUCGUUAAAUCAAAAUGGUUACGACCUAAGGCGGAUUCAUUUACUUUGAACUAGUCCUCUUUCUAUGUGGAUUACAAUUUGAAAUUAGACGAACCUAUUUUUUCAUUCAGAAAGAAAAAAAAAAUAUUUUUUUCCCUAUUACAGGUUUUCUCAUUGUUGAAGGAACUAGAGUCUCUCACAAGAGAAAUUCUAGAAUACAUCAGAUGUAAUACAACCAAUUAAUGCAUGUAUGAUAUGUGUAGUUGAAUUUUAUAUAAUCAUCAAUUACAUGUUGAUUCUCAAAGUAAUUGCACAUAUGUUAAAACAUCAUUUACUUGUUGUACAUUAGAUAUAAUACAACCAAUUAAUGCAUGUAUGAUAAGUGUAGUUGAAUUUUAUAUAACCACCUAUUACAUGUUGAUUCUCAAAGUAAUUGCACAUAUGUCAUAACAUCAUUUGCUUGUUAUAUGACUGACAUAGUACCUCAGAGAUAUUUCAGAAUUUUUCCUCCAACAAUACUCAAUCAAUGGUAAAGUUUAAAUUAUGUCAGAAAAAACAUUUGCACAAUUAUUGCUAUUUCAAACAUAGAAAUGUGAAGAGUAAUAUAUUUUAUGGAAUUUUCUCCGUUAAUUCUUAAAAUUACUACGUGUACAUGUGAUGAUUGCUUGCUACUGUGUAAGGUGAAACAUUUAAUUUGAAGAAGAUUAAUUCCUUCUAGACUGGUAGUAUAGGUCGUUGCUGCCCUGUCGAGGAAUUCUUAUUAGCUUGAAACCUAUCGCAAAUGUCAAUGCAAAAUGGCUUCAAGGUUUUGUUGUAGAGCUGACGACAAGCUUCUAAAAACAACAUACCAUAUUGGUACACAACUACAAUAAUGGUAGUCCCAAUCCAUGCAGUGUACAAAAUGAUAUGGUCAAUAUUAGAACGUGGAACAAAUGUAAAGACCAAAGAGAUUGCAGAAAUAGAUCCUAAGACAAUAGCAACAAGGCUCCACAACUGGGAAGAAUUUUCUCCAUGAAGUCGAGAUCUCAGGUCAGCUGAAUGUGCAUAGCAAUAUACGACAGUGGCUAUCCGAAAAGACCAUAUGUCCGUUGAAUGUGUUUCAGGCAAGGGCUUAGUUUGGUCUUGCAUAUGACAUGGAGCAGAAGAGAUUUUACCCACUGCAAAAUCAUAAAAAUGCAUGAUUAACCAUCUUCUGUAUAUCCCAUUUCCUUUGAAAAAAAAUAAAUGAAACUUAAAAAGACCUUGUAUUAAUUUCCAGUCAAAUUGUCUAUCAAUUAAUUAUUUGCUUUUGACAAAUGCAAUUCUCAUCUAAAAAUUUGAGGGAGCGCUUUUCUAUUUUCAUUAACACAUACGAGAUAUUUUUCAUUUGCGUCCAAAUGUUUCAUCAAAUUUUAUUGUGUGCACCUCUGUCCUCUGUUUCAACAACUCUUACGGCUCAUCGUUUCUGUUAAAAAAUAUUGUUGCCGUUAAUUUUGACAAUUUUGAUGUUAAAAGACAAUUUUACCAGUCAUUGGAAUUAGGUGUAAAAUUACCAGAAAACCACAGCACUUGUUUCAAAUUCCAAUUUUGACCUAUGUGGAUAUUAAAAUUUCUUAAAGGUUUGAAAAAAAAAAAAGAAUUGUAAAAAUGUUUUCUUAUGGGAAUCAAAACAUCCCCUCUACCAUCAUCCAUAAUCAUAUAUUCUUGAUAAUGAUCUAAUAAACUUGAAAAAGCAAGAAAUCCAAUCCUAAUCAAUAAAACAAUCAAAUUUCUUCAUAAAGUUUAGCUCUUGCUUUUGAAAAUUCCAAUUCUUGAGACUCUAAAUAAACCGAUAUUCAAAAUUACAUAUUUCUAGAAUGAAAAAUCUUCAAUUUAUCCCUUUAAUUUUUUUAAAACAUCUUUAAAUUUUUGAAAACAUCUAUUUGCCUCUAUUUAUCAGUCAAAAGAUUAGGAUAAAUGGAAGCGCGUUGAUGACUAACUUUUUAUCUACUUAAUGGUAUUUGAUAAAUAUAGCUAAAUUGGGGUAAAUUGAAAUUUUAUUCUACAUUUAGAGUGCUUUAAUAAGAGAAAGAAAGAAAGCAGCAAACCUGGUCUAUUUAAAUAAUAAUAUUAUUAUUAUUAAAUAAAUAAAUAAAAUUAACAUGCAAACUCAGCUUGAAACUUGGGAGAAAAAAAUAUGUGAAUUUUAUUACAUGCUGAUUCUUCAAAUUAAAAUGUAAACACACUCAAUAAACAUUAGACAUAAUACAACUAAUUAAUGCAUGUAUGAUAUGUAUCAUUGAAUUUUAUUACAUGCUGAUUCUUCAAAUUAAUUGCACACAUAUUAGAAAAUCAUGAGUUUGUUGUAUGAUGGACAUAGUAUCUAAAGAUAUUUUAAAAUUUUUCCUCUGAUAAUGCUCAAUCAAAUUAAGGGUAAAGGUUAAAUUAUGAUAGAAAAAGUCUUUGAAUAAUAUUGAACAAAGCAUUUACUUGUAUACUAAAAGAAUGCAUAUGAGGGGCCAAAAAGAGUGAAGAUAUGAGUUUGACUAUUAUCACAUCAAUUAUUACUAUUUAAAACAUAGAAAGAUGAAACUAACAUAUUUUGUGGAAUUUCCUCCGUUACUUACUUAAAAUUACUACGUUACAUGUGAUGAUUGCUUGUUAUUGUCUAAGGUGAACAUUUAAUUUGAAAAAGAUUAGUUCCUUCUAGAUAGGUAGUACUGAUUGUUGCUGCCCUGUCGAGGAAGUAUUAUUAGCUUGAAACCUAUUGCAAAUGUCAAUGCACAAUGGCUUCAAGGUUUCGAUAUAGAGCUGAUGACAAGCUUCUGAAAACAAUGUCCUAUAUUGAUACACAACAAUAAUGACAGUGCCAAUCCACGCAGCGCACAAAAUGAUAUGGCCAGUAUUAGAAUGUGGAAAAAAGGUGGAGAUCAAAGAGAUUGCAGAAGUAGAUCCUGAGACAACAGCAACGAGGCACCAGAACUGGGAAGAAUUUUCUCGACGAAGUCGAGACUUGAGGUCCGCUGAAUAUGCAUAGCAAUAUAUGGCUGUGGCAAUGAGAAAAGACCAUAUAUUUAUUGAGUGUGUUUCAAGCAAGGGCUUAGCUUGGCUGGCUUGCGCAUUUGCACCCACAAUGCCGAUGAGAGCCGGAAUGAGAUAUCCAAAAAUAUUGGGAUAUGACAUCGAGUAGAAGAAAUUUCGCCCACUGCAAAUCAUUAAAAUGCAUGAUUAACCAUCUUCUAUAUAUCCCAUUUCCUUUGAAAAAAAAAUAAUGAAUAAAACUUAAAAAAGACCUCGUAUUAAUUUCCACUCAAAUUGUCUGUCAAUUAAUUAUUUGCUUUUGGCUGAUGUAAUUCUCCUCUAAAAAUUGAGAGAGCACUUUUCUAUUUUCAUUAGCACAUGUAUAUGAGAUAUUUUUCAUCUGCGUCCAAAGUUUUCAUUAGAUUUUAUUGUGCGCGGACUUGUUUCAAUAACUCUCAUGACUCACCUUUUUUGUUAAAUAUUGUUGUUGCCAUUAGUUUUGAUGAUUAGUGUAAAAUUAUUAGAAAACCACAACACCUGUUUCAAAUUCCAAUUUUGACCUACAUGGAAAUUAAAAUUUCUUAAAGGUUAAAAAAAAGAGUAAAAAUGUUUUCUUAUGGGAAUCAAAAUAUCCCCUCUACCAUCAUCCAUAAUCAUCUAUUCUUAAUAUUAAUCUAAUAAACCGAUAUUCAAAAUUACAUGUUUCUAGAAAGAAAAAACUUCUAUUUAUCCCUUUAAAUUUUUGAAAACAUCUAUUUACCUCUAUUUAUCAGUCAAAAGAUUAGAAUAAAUAGAAGCGUGUUGAUGACUAACUUUUUAUCUGCUUAAUGGUAUUUGAUAAAUGUAGAUAAAUUGGGGUAAAUUGAAAUUUUAUUCCACAUUUAGAGUGCUUUAAUAAGGGAAAGAAAGAAAACAGAAAACAAAUCCCUUCGAUACGAGGCUUAACAAAAUUUUCAGCAUGGACCUAACCAAAUUUUUUUCGCGCAAAUUAAAUUAGGAGAACAAAAAUAAUUUGAAAUGGACUGCAUAUGUAUACUCAAAAAUAAUAUACAGCUUGAGUCAAUAAUGGUAAAGAAAAUGACCAUACACCGAAAGGUUUGGAUCUGGAUGAUGCAGAAUGCAGUGGCAGCUUUGCAUUUGCAGUUAUAUACCUCGCCAAACCCUGGAUUGGGUUUUCUUUUUCACGGCAAAUAAGGCAGGGACAAGCAAACCUGAUCGAUUUUAGAACAAAAAUAAAUAAAUAAAUAAAAGUAAAAUGUAAACUCAGCUUGAAACCUGGGAGAAAAAAAUAACAAUAACAAAGUAAAAAAAAUCACUUACUUUAAGAACAUCUCAAUUAUCUCAUGGAUUGGGUAUUUAUACGGGCAAAAUGAGGGUCAAUUGAACCCCAAUGUAAUCCCGAUUCCGGAACACGUUUGGUCAAGCUCAAGUGCGGCCGAAUGGGGAGGGUUUCCUAGAAAGGUAGCAAGGUAGUCCCCCUUAGAAAGUGAAAAUGAAGCCUAUCCACAAUCAUAGGGAUGCAACACAAGGUAGAUUUUUUUUUUUUGUUAGAUGUAGAAAAUGAUUAAAGAGGUCCCAUCAAGUUCAGCGGGCAAGGGCCGCUCGGUAGCUACACGUGAAGAGGGGCCCCCCAGCGCCCCGGCGGUGAAAUUUAAGUGGUACGGUCCCAAUUAAAAUGUGAUUAACUUAUCAAAUAUCAAGAUCUUUUCCAAUAAGGACAUUAGUUUUGCAUUCGUUCGUCUCAAAUAGGUCCCUAACCUUGUAUGACGACUAAGAUACCCUUAACCCGUUGGACCAAUCUACCUUACAGAUUCUGUAAGUAACGGCCUGUGAGUUGACAAGAGGAUAUAUGGAUGCGUAGCACGUGGACGGCGGAUGGAAUGGGAUAUUAUAUAUGGAACCAGACAUUCCGGUUUUCUUCGGGUGACAAAAUGAAUUCCUUCCCGGUUGCUGACCGGUAACCCAUCACUGAAAGUGGUAAAAAAAAUUAGGCUGAUGGGCCGUGUAUUGAAAAUCCAAAUAUUUGCAAUUUGAUAGUGGAAAAAUGUUGGUGGUUAUAGGCUUCCAGCGUAUCGAAUUAUUAUUCAGACUCGUGCAUAUAGCAAGUGAGGCGACGUUGCAUCUCCUGCAACAGCAUGGUGUGAAAAAACCCCUUCAAAAUAUUUUCUCACUUUGGAUCCACGGUGUGUGAUCCAGUUUAAGCAAUCGCGGCUGCCUCGGAGGUAGCAUGACCUAAACUGUUUUUUUUUUACCGACACCAACCUAAUUAAAAUACAAUUAAUUCUGUAAAUUUCUCCAACCACGUGUCCUUUUGUUACUUCUCACAUCCGGUUGCACAUUAACCAUUAAAAUCGGUUUCCCCAUGCUUUGGGUUUUCUUUCCCCUUAUUUUUCUGACCGUUGCCAACCCUCCAUCUUUCUCUAUCCACAUUCAACGAUUGAGAUUACAGGUCUGUUACUUACAGAAUCUGUAAGGUAGACAGGUCCCUUAACCCGUUGGACCAAUCUACAGGUCUGUUACUUACAGAAUCUGUAAGGUAGACAGGUCCUUAACCGUUAUAUGAUUUACACACUUGCCGUUUUGUUCUGCAAAGGAGGACACCACCCGUUACCUCAAAGCCUUUGAGCUCAGUCUGAGGGCACAUAAAAGGUCGCUUGAAGACCAAGCGGAGUUGAUGUGAUUGUUGGGUUGCCGCAUGGCUAAGAAUAAGAAAUUUCGCCGUCAAAAUGAAACGUAUCCUGUAAUAUAUAAUAUUCAUUUAUCAGUGAAGUAAAUAUACAGAAGGUUUACGGAGUUGCAUUAUAUGUAUAUUUAGCUAUUAUCAAAUGUCAACAGUAAUCAUUGGUAUUAAUUCUUGUAAAAUUAAGUUCUUAUCCACUUUCCCAAAAAAAAAAAAAUCUUAUUCAUUAUUCAAAGGCUUCCGAGUGCAUUUGGUGUUAGUUUUAUUCAUAUGUGAGAGUACAUCUUGCAUAUUAAACAAAUGAGUAAUGAUAUAGUAACAAACUCUUGUACAAACUUAUUUUGUACACUCUUGUACAAACUCAUUUUGUACACUCUUGUACAAACUCAUUUUGUACACUCUUGUACAAACUCAUUUUGUAUAAACUGAUGUGGUAUGAUAAGAUUGGUUGAAUUAAAUAUCACUUGGCCCACAUGAUUUAUUUUUAUUAUUUUAUAUUUUCAUUCAACCAAUGAAUUAAUAUCACGUUAGUUUGUACAAGAGUUUGUGGUUGUAUCAUCACUCUAAACAAAUUGUUAUUUAGUCCCGCCCUUAUUUGAUCAGAGUGGACCACGGUGGUUUUUUAACUCCGAAUAUUUAAGCACAAAUCAUUUUUAAAUAGUGAUUUACGAAUAUGAAUGGAAUUAAUUCUUCCAUACUGUUCAUGUUCUUAGGAUAAUUGUGGAAUUAGUUCAAAGAAAGCAAAAUUUCCUAAUUCACAAAUUUUGCAUUUUAUUAAAGGUUGGGAUAGUAUUUACAACAUUGUAAACUGACUUUCAUAUAACAACGUUAUAAAACGGUAAAAACGAUAGUUUACAAUGUUAUAAAACAAUGAAAAAAAAAAAUAGUUUACAAUGUUGUAAACACAUCCUGCACUUUAAUAGCCCGAGAUUUUUAGACCGGAAGCAGACACUUCAAAAAGUAAUGAUGUUUAUUUAUUUUUUUCUGAAAAAGGAUACCGACAACUCUUGAUUUAAAAAAUGAUCACAUAAAUUAAUCUUUUAGGAUAAUAUCACCUUUGAUUGCAAUAACCCAACUGUAUUUCAUCUGAUCAUAUAUAAUUAUAAAAAAUAUAUAUAUAAAGGUUGUUUUCCCUUUGACUGCUAAUCACACGAGCCUCGUUGAUCUUUUGCUGGAAUGAUGACCAGAGGAUGGUAUUUUUGCCUUAUUUGUGCUUCUGGGUGAAGCAAAAUAUUGGUAGCAGGCUUUCGCUUAUACGUCUGAUGUGCAGCAGCCAUACACACUGUUGUGAUUGUAGAAAAGAGGGUAUCGCUAAUCCCUGUGGCAUUCGAUGACUAUUAUUAUCAAAACAAGUAUAAAAUUUGACGAAAAUAUCGCAACAAUUAUUACCUUAAAUAAAAUUUAACGAAAAUAUAUAUCAUUGGUAUUCCAAAUAUAGAAAUCCGAACAUAAUAAAAAUAUUUCAAUCCAGAAUCACAGACUUGUUUAAGUCUGAAAAAGUUAUGAUUUGAUAGCAUAAUAGUCGGAAAAGCUAUUAAAGUAUAAUAUUUUAAUAGUAUAAUGACAUUAUAUUAUAAAAUUAUACGUCUUAAUAACUUUUUAAAAUUAUAAUAAAGUUUAAAAUCUUAGAUUAAAUUAGUGCACGAACACAAAUAUAAUAUAAUUAAAUAUAUAUGUUUACGGAAUUUCUCCACUACAUUUCUUUUGUUGUUGUUCCUUAUCACUAGAGCUAUAACUUGACAUAGCCGCAAUGUUUAAAAUUAGUACACGCACCACGUGAUGAUUGUUACUAGCAGGUGAAACAUUUAAAGAAGAGUUAUUAGCUUGAACCUGUUGCAAAUGUCAGAGCAAAAAGGCUUUAAUGUUUCAUGGUGGAGCCGAUGACAGGCAUAAAUAACAAUGUGGGAUAUUGAUACACGAGCAACACGACAAUGGUAAUAGCAAAGCAAAUCCAUUAAGUGUGCAAAAUGAUGUGACCGCUGACCAGUAUUUGACCAAUAUUAAUAUCAGAGCGUUGGCUGUCGAGACCAAAGAGAGUGCAGAAACAGGCCCCAGCCCCCAAAAUCAGGAAGAAACUUUUCGAUGAAGUUGAGACCUCAGCGCCGGCCAAAUAUGCAUAACAAUAAAUGAUUAUGGCUAUCAGAAAAGGGACUCGCCUAUCGUGCAACAGAAGCACCAUACCACCGUUUUUAUCUUUUUUUUAUAAAAUUUUAUGAAGUCCUUUUCAUUUAUUCUUAUUUGAAUUUUUCUUAACAAAUAUUAAGUUCAUUUCUCCCAAAUCUAUGAAUCCUUCAACGGCCGAUCAAUAGCAAAUCGGCUCCUCUGGUGGCUGUGGUUGGUCAGAAAAGAUAGAGAGAACUGUGGAUAACAAAAUUCAAGUGGUGACGUCACCGGAAAUCAGAGAAACCACAGUGAAUUGAAGUGGAGAUUCUGUGACUUUUCACGGCUUCGAUCGACGGCUUUCUGAAUGUUUUACGACGACAAGGAUGGCAUGGAGAUGAUCGGCGUCGCACGAGCUUCCGAUCGGUACCAACCUUGGCCAGUGGAGUAGCCAGAAACAAACAAAAUUCGGGUUGGGUUGACCUAGUUAUUUUUGCGACAAGGAUGGCGUGGAGAUGACUGAGGUCGUACGAUUUUCUGAUCGGUACCAACCUUGGGCGGUGGCGUGGAUGGAAAUGGAAACGAAAUUCGGGUUGGGUUCACCGAUAUUUUGAUAAAGAGAGGGGGGUAUUGUGAUAAAUGUGCAAUAUAGAAUAAAAAUGUGUAAAUAGUAAAUAGUAUAAGGUGCUAAUUAUAAUGUUUAUAUGGAUGCAAUAGAAAUUAAUUUAAUAUUUAUGAGGUAAAGUUUAAAUAAAAAUGAAUUAAAGGGGUUCAAUGAAAUUUUACAACACUACUAGCACAAAAGACAAAACCAGUGAUACGAUACCACGGUGGUACCGCAGCUGGAUCCAAAAGAAAAGAUCAUAUAUUUACUAAGGUAAUUCUUAUCUUACAUGCAUGUAAGAUAGGGGGAUCCAUUUACUAAAUGUGUUUUAAGUAAGAGCUUAGUUUUAUCUUACGUAUUUGUAGUGUCGCAUUCAGAAUUAAAGCCUAAUAAGUAAUAGCAGCAAAUAUAAUUUCUUUAAAAAAAAUUAUUUUCCUAAAAUGUUUUACAAUAAUUUUGGAUAUAACAUACUCAUUUAAAAUGAUUUUAAUGAUGAUAAUUUAAUUUUCAGUAUAUAAUCUUAUAAAUUACUUAAAGUCGGUAGAGUAAAUUAAAAAUUUUAUUAGGACAAAAAAAUUUAUUGAAUUUUGGAAAAUAUUUUUUGAAAAAGAUUCAGACUUACGGGGACAACUGCCGCAGCUUGUCUUUACGUGACUCCACCAGUAUCGAUAUUUGCACCCACAAUGCCGAUAGGAGCUGCAAUGAGAUAUCCAAAAAUACUAAGGUAUGUGAAUAAAGAAAUCAUCUUAGACCCACUAGUCCUUUGAACUAAAACCACCAACCCACCUCAUUUUGACAACUCUUAACCGCAUAUCAAACAACAUGCGAAGAAGAAGGAUUUAGAAUAAAUAAAUAAAUACAAAGUUUUGCUCUUUUUUGCUACAAGAGGAGAAAAUUUGAAUUAGCUAUUUGGAAGAGAUAGGGAUGAUCGAACAAAAUUUUUCCCUUGGGUAUUAAUCAAUGGUCAUAACCCGGAUUUGAAAUGGAGAGUUUUUUUUUUUUUUGAUGACAUGAGACUAUUGUUUAAAUUACAACUCAUAUUACAUGAUAGUAUAACUGAUAUGUACAAGCAUAUAUAUAUACUGAGACCUGUUGAGAUCAAUGCUGAUAUGACAUCGCUCAUAUUUGUAACCCUCUCAAAUAGUCGAGGGACGUCAACUCCCAGCCUGGGAGAAAGACUGCCUUCACUCAAGCUCUGGGGCUCCAAAGAAGGACAUUUAAAUUAAACCACAGCAAUGCGUCUGCGGAGGCUCGAAUCACUUCCCUCACAUUUGUGAGUGAGUGGCUCUAGCCACUUGGGCUAAGCCCAAGUGGUUAAAUGGAGAGUUAAUUUCGCUGUUACCCAGAUUUGAAAGACAGUAUUAAGUGCAAUUUAUGUUCCAGCAGUUUAUGAUCGAAAAUGUAAGUGAAGUGAAGUCGUUAUUAUUAGGAUUUCUCUUGAUCUAAGUUCUCCUGAAUUUUUAAGAUGUGUAAGGUAAUAAUAUUGUAUGGAUGGAAUUUAAGUUCUUUAUUUUUUUUUAUUUUAAUCACCAAUCAACUUGUGAAUUUGAGAAAUUUAGAUCAGAAGAGGAUCUUAUCUCUUUGUAUUUUAGUGUCAUAAUUUUAAAAACUAAAAAUGAACUACAAUUAUAAAAUAAAAAUUGACAUUUUAAUAAUUUUGACAGAAAAGUAAAAAUACUGCAGAAUUUUUAUUAUAUAUGUAAUAAAUUAAAUCAACUUAAUUUUUAAACCACAAUUAUUAUUAUCUACCAAAUAUUUAGGGCCAUAGCUAACCUUAAUACUAAAUGGGGGCAUUCGGCUCCCACGAUCAAUCUGUUGAGGCUGCAUUGGUUGGAAUGUACGAUGAGGAUGGCAUGUUUUGUCUUAUUCGUGCUUCAUAAAUCAUAAUAAAGCCGAUUUUUCGUGGCAGACAUUUGAUUAAUAUCUCCUUGCGGUUUCAUAUGGAAAUUUGGGAUGUUACCAGCGUUGUGUUGUCUUAAUAUUUCCUGUAGUUUUGGCAACCCAGUACGCCACCUGUCAUCUUGUUUGCCCUCAAGGAUGAACAGAAGCCCGGUGCGCAAUGGGCAAAAGGAUUGACAGUGACUUGGUUUCAGGUACAAAUUGUCGGCAACAGCAAAUUAAAUAAAAUAAAGUAAUAAAUAGAUUAAUUCGAACAAAUUUAAAUUUUUAUUAAUAUAUUUUUCGUAUUUCAAGGAUUAAAUACCUCUCUAGUUUUUUUUUAAACACUUAUAUAUUACAAUAUUGAUAUUUACAAUCAAAAAUUUAUCAGAACUUAUCUGAGUAAUUCUAUUACAAUACAACCCAAAUAUCAAUAUUCACUAAAUUGAAGAGAGAUUUAUCUUCACUAUUAUUGAAAGGAAAUCAAUUCUACUUCAAUGUGGGGAGUCAGUUAACUCCCAUUAUAUAAGAAAACAAGUCCCAACGAUGACUCUAAGCUGAGACUUGAAUCCAUGCCCUCAAGGUUAUUUAUCAACUCUCUAGUUGAUAAAUAAUAUUCCAGAUUUUUAUUGUUAUAGUUGAUGCUAGUUAGUCCACAUAUAAAACUUAAAAAUUAAGAAUAGGAAUAAAAACUAGACACCAUUAAUUUAAACUAAAACAAAUAAUUUGUUCACUAACCAACCACAAGUUUACUAAGUCCAAGUACACGUUAAUCACGACCAAUAGGAUGAAUACAGUUUAAAACAAAUAAAAAUAUAGAAUUAGGGAUCGUAACACUCCUUCACCUUAAAAGUACUCUUUGCCGUCAAGGGUGGACUUUGUUAAGGAGUCUUCUCUCGUCAACAUACUUCUCCGAAUUUGACCACGACAACAUAAUAAUGGCUAGAGUCCCGUCACCGUCCAACCAUAAUGGCCACUUCAAGGCCAAAGGUUUUGCGUGUGUGCAUGCUUCUUGACUUUUUCAUUGGUGCAUUAAAUUUUGUUUUGUAUUCCGAAAUCAAGCAUGCAUGCAUGCUCCUUGGCUCUUUUCAUAUUCCACAAGGAUGCAUUAAUUUAUUUUUAUUUUUUUUGUUUGUUUGUGCGCCAGGGGUUACCAAUUACGAUCAUGAUUCUCUUCUGAUCUGAUUAUUUUCUAAGUAAAUAAUUUAAUCACUGAUUGAGUGUUAAUAAAUAAAAAAGUAAAAAAAAUUAAAUCUUACACAUACACUACUACUAAAAGACACAUGACAAAAGAUUAUUUAAAUCUCAAUAAUAUUCAGAUCAUGAGAGGAUCUUGUUCCUACUAAUUACUUCAUCGUUAGGAUUUGUUCCUUAUUAAUUGCUUAGUUCUGAUACCAAAUGUUACGGAAACAAAUUAUUUACAACAAUAAAUCAAAUAAAAUAAAAAGAACAAGUAACAAAUGGGUUAAUUUGAGAAAACCAAAAAUUUCAUAAAUAUAUUUUUAGCACUUCAAGAGAGCAACUACCUCUCAAUACAACUAAUCAGUUGCCAAAUAAUAUUCCAAAUUUUUAUUAUUGAGUUUGAUACUAGUUUCAAUAUUGGUUUGCUAAUAAAACUUAAAACUAAAGAAUAAGAGUAAAACUAGACACUACUAGCCUUUACUAACACAAAUAAUUAGCUAAUUAACGAACUACUAAUUUACUAAGUCCAAGUACACCUUAAUCACAACCGUUAGGAUAAAUACAAUUUAAAAUCAAUAAAAAUAUAAGAUUGGAGAUCGUAAGUCGUAACAGACUUCUAAAGAGAGUCGAGAGAAAAACUUACUUGGGACAAUCCAAAAAAUACUACUUGCAUUUAUAUGACUGGCCAAUUUGAAAACAUAUGAAUGCUUAGCUGUCAAAAUAUAAAUGGAUGAGCACACCACGUGAAACGUGGGCUUCUCCCACCUAAAUACUUCUCAAUCUGAGUAGGGGGAAAUGUCCGAAGAGUGACUCCAAAAUCUGCUUCUUAUGCUAAAAACACAUGUAUGAAUACUCUGAAUGAAUUAACAGAAUUUUAUACAUGCCAAAACCAACUAAUCAUAUGUAAAAUUUAUUAGCAUGCGAUUGUAUGGAUCAUAGUCUUGAGGCAGCUUACAAGGAUAACAAAAUAAUAGUGUGAGGAAAUAAGUUGCUGAUGUACUGGGUUUAAAUGCAAGAUAUGAAGAAUUCUUGGGGCUAUAUGUAGAUCGACUUCAGUAGGAGGGAUCUUGUUGCAAAUUUAUGCUGAUGUGGCAGAAUUCGUUGAGAGUUCGUUAUGCCCUUUCCAGAAAUAUCAGAAUAAAAGGCACUUGUGACUAGCCUCUUAUAUCAGAUCGAUAUCUUCUUCAUUUCAUGUUCAUUUUGCUUGCAAUUUGGUUCUUUGUGAUCCUUAUAAUUUCUUUUUGUUAAUCAAUCUGUAAUCCGAUUGUUGAGAUCAAUAAAAGAGCAGUUUUUUCCUUCAUCAAUUUGUGUACUUGAAACUGUGCUCUGAGUCUGAUUCUUGUGAUUGCUUUCUUGUGUUGAUUAAUCUGGUCUGUUUCUUUCAAGUCUGAUUCAUCAAAGUUCUUCACGAAAUAACUUGUGUAGCUAUUAAAGGUUAUAACAAAUAGAAUGGUGCAAUAAAAGUACAAUAGCUGAUUCACUAAGGCUACAUAUAACCAGAGAAUAUGGUCAAUAAACUGGAAUAACCAACUGUUCUUGAAUCAAGUCCCUCCCCAGGGUUCUCAAGAACAAAACCAAUGAAGUUUGUCAGGACAGCAAUCCAUCAGCUGCAGUGACCCAGUGGUUCAACGGUGGUUCAUUCCAUCAUUUACAUGUAUAACAGAUUAUCUUCCGGUCUUGGCGCGUUUCAUUCCAGCACUGUUGAAGGGCCACAUGCUAGGACUCAUACUCGGACUCAUGCAUGGACUUUCUUCUCUUAGAGUACCAUUCAGCGUAGCAAAUUCACGCAAUUGUUGCUUCUUGUAAUGAUCCAAGGAUUCAUCCUGCAUAAAGAGAUUAGUUUGAACAAGCGGGAAUUAGGAGAGAUGCUGAAGGAAAGAAUAUCGACAAAGUUCACAGAAAAUACAAGAGUUUUUUUUGUUCAUACCACAGGCUUCAAAAGGUUCUCUAGUAUCGCUACAGCAUGAUCCAAGCGGGAAUUUAUUAUAUCCUCUGGAAAUUCGGCCUCCCCUAACACGUGCAGUGGCUCAUUAAGAUGCUCAUAUCCAGGUUUAUCUUUAAGUUUUUCUUCCUAAAGAACCAAAAAGUAAAGAAUUAUCAAGAGAAACCAAGAUGGUAUAAUAAUGUAAGGCAACAUCGAACAUUAGGAAAUACGAAGAAAUGGUUUGCUAAUGCAAGACGCACUCUCCCAUUUGUAGAACACAAAGAACAUGAAAUGAGUCUUGAUUUCCACUUAAUAGAUAAACUAGUAAUAAUAUAAAUUCAUUUCCAGUACAUAUGCCAUCAAUGUAAAACAAAACUACUCAAAAUAUCUAGCUACUCCUACCACAACGAAAGAAAACCACCAUAAUCAUACCAGUUGUCUCCACGAAAAAGAAUUAUGAGGGGCCCAAAAAAAAAAAAAAAAGCUAUAGUUCAUCUGGAAAUCAUUAUUCCAAAGCAACAUAAUUUAUAUGUGUGUAAUUUCAUGCUCAGUACAUCUUUCUCCAGUUAAAUCAAUCAGCAAAAUGUCACAAUCCUCCAUUGAAUAUCAUAGAACUACAUCAUGCAUGAUCAUAAGCAAAUCUAGUCAUACCAUGACCAGUAUCGGUACUAAACUACAAAUUAAAGCAUCUGAUAGAUUGUUACAUAAAACCAGGAUAAUUACAGUGCUAAUCAAAUAACCCGAAUUGCAGAUUCCCUAAUCAAACAAACAUAACAAAAAAAUCUGAAUUACAUUUUUUUUUUUUUUAACCAGAGAUGCACAUUGGCAGCGGAUAAAAUUGAGCAUGUCCUACAAGUUAACAUGGUCCUCCUUUAGCAAGGUCUAGAUGGGAAGGACCAUAGUAAAAAUAAGAGGAAAUACUUUACUUCAUCUAUAAAUCCUACAAUUUAGUUGCAAGUAAAAUAACUCCAAUCUAAAACAUCAAAUGCAUAAGAUUCACAAGGCAAAAGCAGCUUUAGCUAUUAAAAUUUCACAUUCUCAUGCUUUAAGUGUUCAAAUCCACUUUAGCUUGAUUAGAUUGAAUCAGCAACUUAUUCCAAAAUGCACAGCUUCACCACAUUAUGAUAGAUCAGGCCUUUAAAGAAUCCUCGACUGAACCCCGUCCUCUAAUGAACACCCUACAUUCUGUCAUGGCUUCAAUUCUUUUUGAGGGAGUUCCCAUGCGUUCCCAAAAUCCGGCCAACAAAAUUAAACUGCUGUGUGUUUAAGUUAGAAACUAUUAUUAUAAGGAAUUUAAAUAUAUCAAUAUAACUACCUUUUAAAUUGGAAAGCAAAGUUUAAACUUACAUUUGGAUAUUUAUCUACGGUAACAUCAAGUCUAAUAACUCUCUUCACAACAGGUGUGGUUGGAAUUCCGGGAACACCUAGCCCGCCCAUUGAAGGAGGAGUUUGAAAAAGGGGCCAUUUUUUGAAUAUGCCCAUUUUCCUGAAUCAAGGCAUCUAAUGAUAUAAGGAUUCCUCUCUUCAGAAUGAUAUAAGGAAUCCUUUCUUUUAUGCUUGAAAACUUUAUCAUCAAAUCCAAAACAGCACAUGAUUCUCAAACUCGAUGAAACAAUCAAGAGCCCUCUAAAAAGUGAUGUGCAAGAUCCAAAACAGAAAGCUUAGUCAUUUAAAAAAUAGCAUUCAGCUAUGAGCAAUAAUAACUUAAAUCUUAAACAUGGAUGUAAUUUAUCUUCAGCUGACAGCUAGACAUACGAGGCAAGUUCAAAGAACAUUUCUCUUUUAUACCCAAAAAAAAAAUAGCUGAACUAGAAGAUACUCUCAGUUGAUUAGAGAAUGAGUAUAUCGAUCUAUGUGUGACAAUUUACUUUAGGUAUACCAUAGAUUCUAACCUUUGUUACACUAAAAGAUGGUCAUCCCCUCAUUUAAAAGGAACAUAGCGAUUAGAAGAAAAGCAUACAGUCAGAAUUCCAAGAAAUUGCAAUAUAGAAUUUUCUGGCAUCAAUCUCACAAUUACAGGAUAAAAAUACAUGGCAAGUAUAAAACCGUGAACAGGCAUUAUUAGCUCAGUUUGCGUUGUAGAUGAACCCUCCAAAUCCAUUGGUCUUCCAUUCGGCUGACCUGAUGACCUAAAUGGACUAUCAUGCUCAAACCCUUCAUGAUCAACAAAACUUGGAUUGCAACCUGUCGUUUGUCUGAUUAGGUAUACCAUGUAAUAUAUACAACUGAAUCCAGGUAAUAACUAACUGUGCUACAAAUGUCAAUGACAAAUAAAGUUCCUAGUUUUUUCAAAAAACUGCCUAGGCAGUGCCCACCCCGCCACACAAGUAGUCCAGGUAAUUUGCUCACGCUGUUGCCAGCCAAAGAACCAUGAAGAGGAAAAGCUGCAAGGAGCCUUUGCCAGGUUGGUCAGGAAGGGCUUCAAUAGAGUGUAACAUCUCAGUAGCUCAAUUCAUGUACCCCUAGCUGUGCAUGUAAGAAGAAAUGCUCUUCUGAAUAAAGUAUUGAUACCAGAUCUACUGUUGUUUCUUCACAACUUGUUAGGAAAGAUUACUAGCAGCUAAGUUAGACGCAUAUACAUACUACUAUAGGAAAUUGAACAGCUUCUUACAUAAUCGGUGCAACUUCUUAUACAAGUAACUUCUUAUACAAACAAGUUCCCCUCCCGGCAAUAGAUAGACAUCAAUAUUCAGACACCUGAGGGUGCUGAAUGUUAGAAACUUUACUUCCUCCCAACGUAAGCUCCCAGUUUAGACACAUUAGGAUUCCAAAAUGAUAGCUCAGAUAACCCCGUAACAAACAUGAGACUUCCAGGGGCCCAUUUUAUGACAGGAGGCUCUGUAUGAAAACUCAUCCAACUAACAACCCUGACAAGAAAAAUAAACAAAACCAAACAAUGUUUAUAUAAUAACAAUACCAACAUCAAAAGAAUAUAGUCUUUGGAUACAGAACUCAUUAUGCAAACUGGUGCUUAAGGUGAAUGCCCAAAUGUAGAUUCAAAAGCAUUGUUGGUUUGCCUAGAAGACAAUGAAUGCUAUGACUCGGUCAAUGUAGGGGAAAUAACAUCCCUUUGAAUUCUAAGCAUUCAAAAGGCAUUAGAAUCAAGGAAUUUUGCUUAUCAUACCCCUUUCCCGCUCCGUACGCUCCAAGCAUAUCCACUACCAUCAUUAGAACCUUCCAAAACCAAGAAAGUAAAAUUAGCAUAAAGAGUGCAACAAACCAAUAGUAUCACAUAAAACUAAUAAGACGUGCUUGGCCACACUAGGCUGCUUCCACAUGUGUGGGUGCACUUGCUAUUUGAGCAUUUCAUUGAUUUAUUUUGAUUAACAAGCACAACCAGAUGAAAAUACGUACGCAUUUGGAUUUGCAUGGAUGGGAGUGGGUUUUAAACCAAGUCAAUGAAGAAGAGAAAUUGAAUUUAUUGCAAAGAAUUCUGUGGGAACAAGCUUGAUGCUGAAUGCUUUUCUUCUAAUUGCUAUGUUUCUGUUAACAAGGUGGUAACAAAUUUGAGAAUUAUAUACAGCACAAGUGCAAGAACUUUAAUAUAAAAUAUCAAAACAGCCGAAAGCAAAUAUUAACAAAAUAUCCACAAGUCACUGUGCCCUAAGAACUGAAAGGAGAAACUCUACUGGGCUGAAAGAUGCCUCCAAUGUGGAAUUGUGAGAAACUGGCUUGGCAUCAUAAGUGGAUAAAUAAAAAGGGUAAUUUUUAGAGACCUCCCCUGAGGUUUGGUGUAUUAACACUUAAAUAGAAUGUAUUCAUGUAAUUACAUAUAUUUUCCCUACAAUUAAUAUAAAAAUACGUAUAGCGUCAGAUAGAAGGGUAAAUGUGUAAAAAUAUAUUUAAAAUUAAAAAUAUUUGCUUUUACCAAAUCAUUAAAAUUUUGACCCACUUGCCCGCUGUCGGCCCAAACUUGACCAGUCGGUCAUGGCUCCACCGGCGGCUGGUGGUGGUGCGCCACUGCCGGAGUCCUCUCCUCACACCAACAACCAACCCCAUUCACGGCAGCCUUUGAAUCAACUGCGUCCACCAACACACAUUAACCCAAGUACACGACUUUUUGAAGUGUCUCUUUUGCUUUGCGUUUUCCCUUCACUGAGAAGAUUCAUCAGCUAAUAUAAUAAGCUUUGUUGCCUUAGAUUUGAGAUUACAGAGGCCUGAGCAGAUGUGGCUGUGAUGUGGGCUUUAUUGUAUUUGACUAAUAGGCAAAACACAUUUUAUUGGCCUACAAGGACGGUGCCUUUUUCUUCUUGUUGGGGAACUUCGUGAAGAAUCCAGCUUGCUUCUUUCUUCCUUUUCUUUCUUCAUUUUAAUUCAUUUUUUUAAUUUAUAAUAACUUUUUGAGAUUGAAUUAUUGGCUUCACAUGUAAAUCAAUGGUAUUUGGUAUGUCACAAGUGUAUAGUUAUUCUUUUUUUAUUUAUUUUUUCUGAUGUUUUUGUGUUGGAAUUAAUUUCUCAAGGUUUUGGCACCACUCCCCAUUGGAUUUGCUGUGUUCAUGGUACACUUGGCCACAAUCCCAAUCACUCGCACUGGAAUUAACCCAGCAACGAGUCUCGAGGCUGCUGUUAUUUACAACAAGGACAGGGCUUGGGGUGGCCAAUGGCUCUUCUGGGUGGUGGUGCUUUGCCACUGCCGGAGUCCUCUCCUAACACCGGCGACCAACCCCAUUCACGACAGCCUUUGAAUCAACUGCGUCCACCAACACAGUAACCCAAGUAGGCUUUUGUCUCAUCACAACCCCCACACCCCCACCGCCCCUUUGGCCAUCGCCGAAGCCACCCAACAACCGCUAACAUCACCAUUAAAGUGGGUUCAAUGGAAUUCUCACUGCCAAUGGAAUUCCCAAAGUUAUAUAUAAUAAUUUAUUAUUUCAGCAGGAAGGAUAUUUUAGUAAUUUUAAAUGUUUACUAACGGUCAACUUAAUUAGUAACUAACGGCAGGGGAGGUAUAUGUAAUUACAUAGAUACAUUCCAUCUAGGUGUUAAUACACCAAAUCUCAGGGGAGAUCUCUAAAAAUUACCCUAAAUAAAAACAAGAGUAAAUAGAAGCUCAUUAACAGAGAUUCCACUGUAUAGAGGGGUAUAUAUGUACAAUAUGUUACAUUUGGGAGAUGAAGAAAGAAAAAGUAAACUCACAAGUGUGCCUUGGAAUGAGUCAAGCACACGAAUAUGUCCUUCCAUAGUGGUCGGAAGCAUAAUUCUCCCAUCAUUGCUGAACUUUAUGACAUCAGAAUCUGAUACAUCUUCCCCAUCAGAGAAGAUGUCAAAAGGACCCUAACAGCAUCCAAGCUUAACCAAAUUAGUGCAUGAUAAAAGUACUACGACAUAUAAACUUCCAAGAUAUUCUUAAAUAUUAAUUUUAACCUUCUCAUACUUACGAGCAUCAAACAUUCUUAUGUAUCCUCCAAAGGCAACUGCAAAGACAAGCCCUUGAUCAUCGUAUGCUGUAGCAGGCCUUCCUUGAACAUUCAAAAGACCCGGAUUUGCCAACAGAGAUCAUAAACACAAUUGAAAAUGGGGGAAAAAAUACUUUGAAUGUGACCGUGGAUGGCAUGAUAUCCACCUAGCAUUUCUCAGCCCGUUGAUCCCAGAGCAGAACAGUUUGAUCAAGAGAACCAGAGAUAAAGAAAUCUUUGGAGGAGCACAGGCUAAACAACCCUAGAAGCAAUAAAACAUAUAUACAGAUGAUAAUAAUUACAAAAUAUUUACAAGAAUCAGUGAAUUACAAACCUGUCAUGGUGACCUUUGAAGUAACGCAAGUACUUGUUAUCGUGCAAGGAAAGAAACUGUAGAGAUUCUUAAUAAAUGAACGUAUCAAACAGCACUACAAGUGGUUUCGUAAUCCAAAAAGUUCUAUCCAUGAAAGCAGAUAUCAAGCACUUCCCCAGAAAAACAAUUCAAGGGUUCCUUUGAUUUCAAAAGACACUUUAUUAUUUCUGCAAUUUCAAACAAACAUUGCAAAAUUGAAACCAGCUUCUUAUACUUAUUUAAAAGCCAUUUCUUAGUUAAAAGCACUUCCAAAGAGACAACAUAAAAUCCUAAGAAACAGAGGAUCAACUUACGUGGCAGCAGAGACAUCGUACGGCCGUAUAGAUUCAUCAUCACUAGCCGUCACCAAAUAACUCGACGAUUUAUGAAAAUCCAUGGAACUAAUUCUCCCAUUCUGUUGAAACACAAAUCAAUACAAAACGACACUGAAUUAACAAACAGAUACAUUUAAAACGCAAAUCGAGUAUGUUCCUCGAAUAGAAACUUAUUAGAAGAUUCUCUUACAUAAUCUCUAAAAGAAAUGCCCACUUCCAUGCUCUGAAGAAUUUCUUCAAAGAGUUCCAACGAGACCUUGUCUUCUCUCUCCGAUUGUGACCCUAAAACCCAGAAAUAAAAACACAAAGCAAAUAAGUAUAUCACAGCAAUUAUGCCAAAAACGACAACGUUUCAAGUAAAAUUUCCACAUACCAACAUUUUUUUUCCUUCAGAUUAAUUCAAUUCCACUGCACUGAAAACAAAUUUUUCACGGAAACGGGAGGAGGUUGAGAAUUUAUUUAUACUUCUGUGUCAAAUAAGGACGGUAGUUUUCUAUUCGUCCCAAAUGGGUGCCUAAACCCAUACAAUGACUACGAUACCCUUAAGCGUCAGCUCUUGUACACUUAAAUGUCAAGGGUAUUUUGAUCAUUUAAUAAUUAGUGACCUAUUUUCCGAUGCAUAUGUAAAGUCAAACUUCACGAAGAAAACGCUAAUAAAAAUGAUUAAGAAAAAACGCUCAAAUUGGAUCAAAGCUUUGAAUGACAACGUAAGUCUCGAUUUUUUUUUUUUUUUGCUUUCUAUUAUGCGUUAUUUUAUUCAUCAUCUAGUAGUAAUUUAAUCUGCAAAAUUCCAAUUUUUGACGCGCGCGCACCAACAAAAAAAUUUUGAAAGAAUUUUAUUUGAAUUUUAUAUGUGUUCCUAUUUGUUUUAUGAAUCGAAUCUGAUAAGAAAUUGUGGGGAUGCAAAUAUCACACGAUGCCUCCGUUCAGUCAAGUUUAUUCUUGAUUUGUUGAAAUUGUGUAAAUAGAUUUAUAAUAGUUUUUAUGAUGUGUCAGGGUUCGCGCUCUUUGGAUAAUCAUGGAAGUAUGGUGAUUUCUAUUUAUUGUUGUGGGGAAAGGACACCGACUUCUUUGCGUGGUUUUAGAAAUGAUCGCAUAGACUUGUAUUAGGAUAAUUAUACCCUUUGACUGUAGUGAUUUCAUCUUGGCAUAUUUAUCAAAAUGGGUAUUUUCCCUUUCAGCUACUCAUCACACGAGCUUUAACCUUCCACCAGUGAUCAAGUUGAACAUGCAAGAUUCCAACAAGUCCCUUUGAGAUCCCGUCCAGUUGUUGCAGCCCAGAUCCCACCAUCAAAUCAGGUCAAAUUACAAGAUAUACCUAACUUAUGGAUUAACUUUCGUGUCUUUUAGUUUGAGAUCUAGUGAGUACAAUGCUCGUAAUGCCCAAUACCAUAUGGUUCAAGAGGAUAUGAGAGCAUAAAGGUUCAAAUUUAUGAGUUUAACUGGUUGAAAAUGGUGUAAUAUGCCUCUGUGGUUUGUACAUAAUGGAUUAGAUAAUCCUCUUUUUUUGGCCCUCCAAAGAAUUAUUCGUAGGAGACUGAAAAUUGAAUCUCUGAUGCAGUUUAUCCUUGAACUGGUAAGACAAUGUAGCUGAAGUAAUUUUUCAUAUUUCAUAUAGUAUUUGCUAUCACUUAAGUGGAAGACUGACUUUUGUAUAUUUACUUUUUCUGGUGGCUUCAAACAGUCUCAACCAUUUGGAAUGUGACAAACUUUGAACUACUAUAUUAAUAAGAAGAUUAUUAAUCCUGCAUGCCCUAUACUCGCUGCUGUGAUUGAAGAAAGGCGGAUAUUACUAUUGCUGACUGACUGACUCUUACCAAUGGCCUUGACAAACCUUUUGUUCGCAUCAAACUGAGGCAUAAGAGGUGUAAAGGUGUAGGAGUGAAAGCUACAACAUAUGCAAAAACAAUAUGGAUGGACCUUGCCAAUGCCGAGUUGAUCUCUGGAAAUAAGAUUCACAUAAAUAGAUUGGGAAUGCAAUUGUGGAGCAAAUUAGUAGGAACCAGGAUGGAAAUUUCACAGGGGUUGUGCAUCUUGAAGGAUACAAGACGACCGUGUUGAAGCUGACCUGGCUGCUUGAAAUAAUCGAGUUAGUGGGGUUCGACUACCUAAUCACAAAGAAAAAGGUAUGUUGAUUUUCAGAUUUUUUUUCUUCCACUUAUCUCUUUGCUGUCAUACAGAGUGCCAUUCUGAAUAGUAAACUUUUCAUGUAAUGUGAAUUUGAUCCAUAAAGCACCUGAAUCUAGAUAAGUUUGCUGCAUGCUGAGCAUUGGGUCUUGUGUCUCAUGUGGGUUUUUUUCUUGAGUUCUUUAUGCCCAAAGAUGCUAGAAGGCUGGUUCUUACCACCGACCAACCAUCUAUUUAUACUUAGUCAUAGCAAUUGCAAACAUACCCCCUUGGUUGGUUCACGCAGUAAAAUCUCUUGAGGCAGUACCUAAUUGCCAUUUCCAAGUGUUUAACCCUAAAUUUUUAAUAACGUUUUGGUGGAUUCAUGUACAUUGAACUAGUCUUCUUUCUAUAUUACAUGGAUUAAAUUUUGAAACUAGGCCAACCUGUUGUUAAAUCUGCCUUUCAAAUUAUUGACUUAAUAUUGCCAAAAAAGAACUUUUUACCGAUUACAGAAUUUUUCAUUUUUGCAGGAAACUGGAGUCGCAGCUGACAGUGCUCAAGGGCAAUCCUUAAAUUAAAUUUCAUUGCAAUCUUUAAACUUUAAAUUAUUUGAGAAAAAAAAAAUCUUGGCAUAAUAUUGAACAGUGCAUUUACUUGUAUAAUAUCAAUAAAACAAUGCAUGUGAGGGAAUAAAAAGAAUAAGAUGAAAUUUGACGACAGUAAUUGGCACUAUUUCAAGCAAAGAAAUCUGGACACUAAUAUGUUUUCUCUGUUACUUUCCAAAAUUACUGCAUGUACAUGAGAUGAUUGUUUGCUACUGUUGUACUGUAUAAGGUGAAACAUUUGAAGAAGCCCCCUUCUAAACUGGUAGUGUUGGUCGUUGUUGUCCUGCCGAGGAAGUGUCAUUAGAUUGAAACCUACUGCAAAUAUUGAUACAAAAUGGCUUCAAGGUUUCGUUAUAGAGCUGACUGCAAAAUGGCUUCAAGGUUUCGUUGUAGAGCUGACGACAAGCUUCUGUAAACAGCGCCCCAUAUUGAUGCACAACAAUGGUAAUGGACGAGCAAAGCCACGCAGUGUACAAUAUGAUAUGACCAAUAUCAGAGCGAGGAACAAAUGUGGAGAUCAAGGAGACUGCAGAAACAGAUCCAGAGACAACUGCUACAAGGGCCCAAGAUUGGGAAGAAUUCUCUUGAUGAGCUAAAUAUGCAUAACAAUAAAUGGCUGUGGUUAUGAGAAAAGACCAUAUAUUUGUUGUGUGUGUUUCAAGCAAGCGCUCAGUUGUGCCGUGCAUAUUUGCUCCCACGAUGCCGAUGAGAGCUGGAAUGAGAUAUCCAAACACGUUAUGGUAUGCGUUUGACAUCGCGGACAAAUAAAUUUUGUUCCUGCAGAACCAUUAAAAUACUAUAUUAAGGAAAGUAUUAGAUCCAUUCCUUUAGAAAAACAAGAAUUUAAGAGAUCAUUAUGUAUUUAGUCCCAUUUAAUAUUAGUUUAAUUUUUUCAAGUUAUUGUGAAAAAAAAAAAUUAUCAAAUACUUUUAUCGAUCCAUUCCUUUAGAAAAAAAAUAUAUAUAUAUAUAUAUAUAUUUUCAGUGCACACACAACAUUUCUUUACUGUUUCAAACAAUCUGGUUCUAACUAUUAUAUUGUAUCAAACUCUUCUUGAGUUCGACUUUCUUUCAAACCCAAAUAUUAUAUUUGACUUUGGCUUUUCUCUUUAUUUUCAAGAUGCAAUGGGUUUCUAUCAGCUUUCCAAGCCUUAUAAAAUCUUGACAAAGACUUGAAGAAGAAAACAAAUUAUUUUCAGUGCAUAUUGAUUGGUAAGAAUUUAAAAAGGAAAUUUGGGAUUUUUUUUGUUUUCUUUUGAACAUUGUCUGUAUAUAUAUAGGGUAAAGUUUUAUUUUUAAAUACACGUUGUGGCUCAGUUCAGAGAGAGAAGGGAGACGGUGAAGAUUGAUGGGUUGACUUUCUUUUCCCGUCAGCCAUUUUGUAAUAGAUUGAUCAGAGCAAUCAUUACCUGCAAAACUCAACACAUCACCAAAUUAACAACCAACAUUUCAAUUUCAAACCCAACCUUAAAUUGAAACAAAUCUUCUUGAAAAAUAAAGGAAAAAGCAACUCCAAAUCAAAAUCGAAAUGAAACCUUAACAGAGAGACAGCCGCAAGUAUGAGGAGACAAGCACGAUCCUAAAAGAUCUGAAGUCCUGUUGGUAUAUGAGAGAUGAACUGACCUCAAUUUAUAUAGGAUGGAUUCCCUUUGCUCAUUGGCUGCUGCAGCCCUGGACCGUUGAGGGGGGACACGUGGAGGGAUCGUGGGGCGGGAUGGAAGUAACUGUGGUUGAGUUAAGGUUGGACUUUUCAUUAACAUACCUUUGAAAAAGGUAUGUUAAUCAACCUUUCAAAGGUACUUCCACCCCUCACAUAACUCCAGUCAACCACAGUUACUUCCAUCCCGCCCCACGAUCCCUCCACGUGAGCUGCUGCAGCCAAUGAGCAAAGGGAAUCCAUCCUAUAUAAAUUGAGAUCCCUGUUGAAACACAUAAAACGACGCUGAAUUAACACACAAAUACACUUAAAAGUCUGUUUCCCAAACAAAAACUUUUUAGAAGAUUCUCUUACGUAAUCUCCAAAACACAUGCCCACUUCCAUGCUCUGAAGAAUUUCUUCAGAGAGUUCCAACGAGACCUUGUCUUUUCUCUCUGAUUGUGAGCCCAAAAACCAGAAAAAAAAACUAAAUAAAUAAAUCACAACAAUUGCGAGAAAACGACAAUGUUUCAAGUAUAAUUUCCACAUACCAACCAUUUUUUUCCUUCAGAUUAAUUCAAUUCCACUGGAUUGAAAAUAAAUUUUCUGCGGGAACGGGAGGAAGUUGAUAAUUUAUUUAUACUUCUGUGUCAAACAGCAUGAUUUCCCAAAUAAGGACUAUAGUUUUCUACUCGUCCCAAAUGGGUGCCUAAACCCGAGCAAUGACUACGAUACCCUUAAGCGUCAGCUCCUGUACACUUAAAUGCAAGGGUAUUUUGAUCAUUUAAUAAUUAGUGACCUACUUUCUGAUGCAUAUAAAAGCACACUUCACGAAGAAAACAUCAAGAAUGAGGAAGAAAAACGCCGAUUGAGGAUGCUCAAAUUGGAUCAAAGCUUUGAAUGACAACGUAAGUCUCGAUUUUUUUUGUUUUCUAUUAUGUGUUAUUGUGGGGAAAGGACACCGGCUUCUUUGCGUGGUUUUAGAAAUGAUCACAUAGACUUGUAUUAGGCUAAUUAUACCCUUUGACUGCAGUGAUUUCAUCUUGGCAUAUUUAUGAAAAUGGGUAUUUUCCCUUUUAACUACUCAUCACACGAGCUUUAACCUUCCAUCAGUGAUCUGUUGAGGCCGAAUGAUGAGCGGAGGAUAGCGUGUUUGGCUUAUUCGUGCGUCAAGGUGAAGCAGAUUAUUGGUGGCAGGAUUAAGCUCGUCGGAUAUUGCAACCAAUUCCUUGGAAAAUGUUUGUGAAUGGCUUGAAGCAUUGAGAUAUCAUUCUAUUAUCUCCGUGUGUUUUCAUAAGCAAAAUUGGGAUGCUAAUAGUGUUGUCAUAGCAGGAAGUUGAACAUGCAAGAUUCCAGCAAGUCCCUUUGAGAUCCCGUCCAGUCGUUGCAACCCAGAUCCCGCCAUCAAAUCAG